rnacentral:lncRNA from 1 species
GUGAGAUCCCUGGUGUUUGACUGUGGAGGCUUGUCGACAGCUCUGGAGAGUGUCGGGACAAGUCCGAGUUGCGUUGGCGUCAAAUAGACGUAAAACGGACUCCGUGCAACGCGAGGGCAGCUUAUCGCGAAGAAUUCUGCAAAACAGCAGCAUUCUCUGCUUACUGUACCGGUACAAGCUUAGUGGCUGUACCGGUACAACCAGCGCGAAACAGCUCAAAUGCUCUCGGGUUGGCUCUUGUACCGGUACAGGAUCCCGUGUACCGGUACAAGGGAGUAGGUAGAGGGCUAAAACAGUAAAAUCUCACCUCGUUUGUAUCUCCGUCACCUCCCCUCUCCUCUUAAGUGUCCGAGCAGAGAGAGAGGGAGUACUUCCUGCUCCUCUCCAUUCUCUUCUUCUCCUCUCUCUCUCUAGGUGUUGGUGGAGAGUCCGGUUGGGGUUUUCGUCGCCGACGUCGCGCCGCGAGCCGUUCGAGCGCACUUGCUGCCGGAGCUUUGCAAGGAGGCCGGGCGAGGGAGCGUCUUCACUGUUCUUGACGUCGCGCCGAGGUUCGACGCUGUCGAGGUGGGUGGUUCGGCGUCUUUUCUGGAUUUUGGGCAAGUGCUACUAUUUCUACUCGGUUAGUAGCUGUUUUGCUGAAAUCCGCCGUCGACUGUUCGUAUUUCAGCUCGUUCUCCGCGUAGGAACGUCGGAUCGCGACAAGGCUUGGUUCGUUGGAUUCGGGACUUCAAGAGGAAUCCACGAAGCCCUCAUUUGCCAGAUUUGGUGAAGGUUAGCUCAGUCGAAUCCCAUUUCUACUCAGCUGCUGUGGAUUUUGGACUGAAUUGAGAAAUUUUGGUGUUUUAAUUUGGAGUUAGCUCGAUUUCGAGACUCGGGCGUUUUUGGUCGAUCCAGCAGGUGGUGUCGCAGUUGAGGGGGUUCUGUGCUGCCAGGGAUUAGCGUGUGAGGUGGGUUACAUCGGCUUUACUCCUAAGUUCUUAUUGGUCGACAUGUAUAGAUCUUGAUUUCGGUAAAUUAUGUUAGCUCAAAUUCAUGGACUAUAUGUAGAUUGUGAAAUCUGAAUUUUGGAGCAUGUUUUAUAAAUUAAGUAGAUUAUACAUGUUGGACUUGAAAAUUGAAUUAGGAGAAAACCUGCGAUUUGGACCUGUCACCAGUUUUAACUACCUGAUUUAGCUCUAGGAGCCGUUAGAAAAUUGUACUGUCACAGUUUCUUCGAGACGAGUACUCCAGGUAGUUUAGAAUAUAUUUACACUCGUGCUGGUUCGCCGAGUGGAUUUUUACAGGGUCGUUCAGGUCGUUUCGGACUGUUGGGUGCCGUCAGAGUUGACGGUGGACCCGUAUCGCCUUUUUGGCGUCAGAUUGUGCCGAGGGCACGUUACCUGUUGGUUGUUAGACCAGUUUGAGUCGAUUACUUGACUUUGGCUAGUUGGAGCCUGAUUGAGCUCGACAGAGAUACGCUGCAUACUCGGUUGGGUAGCGCCCACGAGUGCCACUCCGGAGUCAGGCUUGUGCUUUUGCGUUGGUGUCGCUCAUGCCAGUUGGACUUGCUCUCCACGGACCAGUUAGUGUGGAUAGAGCCCGAUAGUCGCAACGGGGCAGGGACGGGUGUAUUCACAGUCCCGGGGACGGGUAUGCUUACAGUCCCGAUUGGAUUGGGUCAGAUUUGACAUUUCCUACAGUUGGUUAGUGUAGAGCAUGAUAGUGUAGUGGAUGAUAGCGGUAGAGUAUGCUUCCUGCUUUCCUUCUAUCCUUGCUCCCUUCUGUAGACUUAGUGGGUGACCGAUGUUGUUUUGGGCGGUACCCACUGAGGACUACUUGUUUUUACAGUAGUUCUCACGCCCAGUUGUUACCUAUGUUUUUGCAGAGCCACAGGUUCCGGCUGCUGCACCGUCCGUGGAUCAGGAUCGAGGCAAGGGCGUCGCGAGUUAGAGCCCUACCCGUCGUGCUGAGCUAGAGGUGCCCUACUGCAGGUAGAUGUUUUGUUUCGAGUUUAUGUACAUAGUUGACUUAACUCGCCAGUGCGAGUAGCACUGUAUUUUGGAUCUGAACUAUGUAUAUGAAACUCUGUUUUAUUUAGCUUCUGUUUUCUCUAGCAGCUCUCUACUACUGUUCGUAGUAGUGUUUGAUUUACAGGUACAGCUAUCGCUUCGUAUACAGGGAAAAUUUCUUUGUAUACGGUGGAUUUGUCGGCGUGCCCGGGGAACGUGUAAUCCGGGGCGUGACAUAGAUGGUGCUAGUGAGUUGCUGGUAAUGAGCUAAAGAUAGGGCUCGAGGUAGGGAUGGAAAUGGUAGACUGACUUUCUCGGCAACGUGAGUAGCCGCUUGCGAGUGUCACGCCUCGAGACCCGUCGCUUUGGUCGGAUUUGACGCGCCAACAGAACACUGAAUGAACAGAGUUUUUCCUGUCUGUCUAAGACGUCACAAUCAGUACAAUUCAAGUGGUUCCAAACAGGAACAUAAUUCAUACACAGAUUGCGUAAGGAAGGCAUCAUAAACAAAAAUACUAAGCUAUUACAAGCAUUCGUUGGCAUUCCAUAUUACAUUUACAUUCUUUUUGCUUCAAAAUACAAUCAACUUUAUUAUAAUUUGUUCAUUCCUUUCUAUACCCUACGCUAUGCUGACCUAGGGUAUACCUUUGGUAUCAAGUGGUAGGGCGUUAUCUACCAAGCUAUACCCUUUCCUCGCGCCGCCGCGCCGCUCAUGUAUGGACCUGAAAAACAUGAGGAUGAGAACUAAAAACAUAGGUAAACCAGUAGGUAAGGUCAUCCAAGGGAAGAGUUCGACCUACCAGGUCCAAAAGAGGCAACAUAAGCAAAUUAGUCCAACAUAUAUAAACAUAUAACUGUAAGCAACUAACAAACAUCAUGCUUAUGCCUAAACUAAAUGCAAUGUGAAAUCCAUGCAUUAAGAUCUACCAUUUCUACUUUCUAUUUUACAAUCUAUUGCAUUCACAAUCCGUUCCUAACGUUCUUUUACCUUAGCGAAGCUAUUUCACUUGACUCGAUCUUGAGUCAAUCAUUCACAACUUACCUCCUUAUUGACUUAACCAUCCGGCGACGAACUCGCCGCACACGCCAGACAAUGGCUCAAGUCGCCAGGCGGUGUAAUCCUUUACUUGACUUAGUCAUUUGGUGGCGAACUCGCUGCACACGCCAGACAAUGGCUCAAAUCGCCAGGCGGUGUAAUCCUUUGCUUGACUUAGUCAUUCGGCGGCGAACUCGCCGCACACGCCAGACAAUGGCUCAAGUCACUGGGUGGCGAAAUUGUUGCACGUACCCCGGGUUGUUAAGUCUUGUGUGUUGGCAAAUUUUGUGAAGUGAGUCGGAGUCUUGAAGGAUCGGUGCGUAUCGUCGAAGAUCGAAGAAUCCAAGACUUCGAAAAAAGCGGAAUUAACUCACUUUGUGAAUCACGAUGCCCAGGUAAGGUUUUAAUUUAUGUUAUGGUGAUUCAUACUUAGUUGUAGGCAUUAGAAUCAUAAUACCAAAGUUUACUGGAUUAGAAAGUGUGUUGGUACUUUGCAAAACCCGAAACUGUGCAAAAAUUGGGUUUUUGCAAAGUGUACCGGUACAACAUCGGAAGUGUACCGGUACAACAUCGGAAGUGUACCGGUACACAUUCUGUUCCGGUACAGCAAGCGACUUGUCACCGGUAACAUUUUUACGCAGGUUUUCUCUUCCGUCAUCGUGUAACCGGUAACAGCUUAAAGUGUACCGGUACACAAUGUAAUUUUCAAAAAAACUUUCUGAUCCGACUCCAAUUGAAUCUAAAGUCUAUAAAUAAGCUAUUGCGGUUCUCUAACAUAUUAAGCAUCACGAAAAUACAUGUUUUAGAAACCUUCGAGGCUUGGAUUUCAUCUAAAACCUAUUUUCUACAUAUUAGCUUCUUUUAGGUCAAAUCGAGAUAUUGGAAUUUCAUAUCUAUAUGUCGAUUUGAUCUUCGCUUCGCUUGGAGUUUCCUUCCCUGGUUUUCAUCGAUACUCUAAACGAAGGAUCACCAUACACAUGAUGUUCUUCAUGACGGCGUCAUGCAUUCGGCGUGAUUGACGACGGUUCGUGGAUUCGGAUCGUGAGCUUCGUGGAUUCGGAGUGGAGGCGUUUCGUGGAUUCAGAACGAGGUGUUCGUGGAUUCGAACGUGUGGGCGUGGAUAACCCGGAGGAUUGCGCAAGAUUCAUAGGAGAUUAAGAGAGGUCGAAUCCGUGGAGUCGGUAAUCACCUUGUAAUCUUUUCUCUUAGUGAAUUAUUUUUUCGUGUGUUGGUCCCGUGGGUUUUUCUCCAAGUUGGAGUUUUUUCACGUAAAUCUCGGUGUGAUUUUUAUUUUUCGCAUUUAUUUAUCGCAUUGAGAUUUGUGGUUUUUCGCUAUUACACCUAUUCACCCCCCUCUAGGUGUUAGAUACAAUCUAGAUAGAUCCUUGGGCACCUCAAAACUUUCAUUUGGUAUCAGAGAGGGAUCUAGAUAUAUUAAUAUCUAAUGGCCGAAGGCGGUAAUAUUAAUCAACCACCGCUCUUUGACAGCACAAAUUAUGCCUAUUGGAAAGUUCGCAUGAGAGCUUUUCUAAUCGCAAUCGAUGAGCGGGUGUGGAAAGCAGUUACGCAUGAAGGAACAAGCUUAGUAAAAGUUCAAAAAUUACAAAUGCUAACAAGCAAAUUUGACUCGAUUUUUAUGGAAGAAAACGAGACCUUUACCGAGUACUAUAAGCAUCUACAAGACGUAGUCAAUACAUGCGCUAACUUGGGAGAGAAAAUUUCGGAUGCUAAAGUUGUUAGAAAGAUUCUUCGAACACUUCCGGAACGCUUUCGGGCAAAGGUUGUCGCGAUCGAAACCGUUAAGCAUCCGGACGAGAUGAAAGUAGAGGAAUUAGUAGGCACUUUACAAACGUAUGAGAUGACUUUUCCUACUAACCCAUCUUCUUCCAAGUCUUCUUCUAAAAGUACAGGAAUUGCACUCAAAUCGACAAAGAAAGAAGACGACGAUUCGGAUUCCGACGGAGAUAUUUCGCUUGCCGAUUUCGAACAUCAACUUGCGCUCCUCACAAAGAAGUUUCGCCGGAAUUUUCGAAAGAGCAAAUCGAAAUAAACCUUCAUCUUCGAAGCAUAAAUCCUCUUCUAAGCAUUCUUCUAAUUUAAAAUCUAAGGAUAAAAAACUUGCAAUGUUUUCGAAUGAAAAAGACGAAUUUGAAAGGGAAAUCCAAUGCUACAAAUGUAAAUGCCAGGGUUACAUUGCAACGGAUUGUCCUUCUAAGAAGACUUAUAGACAAAAGGCUUUGCAAGCAAAAACCUGGGAUGAUUCUACUUCGAGUGAAUCAUCUCCAAGUGACGAAGAAAAAAAUCAUCAUAUUGCUUUACUUGCUAAUAAUUCUUUGCCUUCGUCUAAUGUUAUGUGCUUAUCUUCAAUUGUUUCUAAUUCUAGUAUUUCUCCUUCCGUGCAAGGUACUUCGAGCGAUAUCGGUGAAAGUGAGGAGGAAUCAAACGACGAGGAUAUAGCGGAAGCAUACAACCAACUUCUUAUUGAUUCGAAAAAGAUGACCAAGCACAAUAAGAAGUUGAGGCGUCGUUUAUUGGACAUUGAAGAGGAGAAUAAAAAUUUGAAGACCAUGAAUAGUGCUCUCGAGGAGGAAAGGGAAUCAAAUUUGAAAGAUCGUUCAAUCCUCCAAGGAAGCUUGAUGAAGCAGAAUCAACUAUCAAAUCUUAUAAAGACAAGAUUGAAUUUUUGGAGCAUCAAUUUGAGGAAUCGCACAAAUCCAAUCAAUCAUUGACCGAUCAAGUUCGUCAACUCUAAUCCGAUCUUCAACAAUUUUCUUCGGGAUCAAAGAAGUUGGACCAUAUGCUUGGGUUGGGUCAAACGAGCAAGUUGGGCCACAGAUAUGAAAGAACAUGUGUUGAGAAGGAUAAAGAAGUAAUACAUAAAGUCUUAACAACUUCAAAAGAGAAGGUGUGUCAUAAAUGUGGCAUCAAAAGACACAUUAAAACGAAUUGCCCAAAUAAGAAAAAGAAGAAUCAAUCGGCAAUGUCUAAACCUCAAUUGGCAUCAUCUACAACUCGGCUUCCCCCACGGAAUCAAAAGAAAAAUCAAGUGAGUCGAGUACCUCGAGGGAACCGGACUUCUAAGCCGCAACGUCAAGUUCGACCAUACCCACAAGCAAACCGGAGUUCAAAGGUUCAUCAACAAUUCCAACUGAAGCCUCAAGCAACGAAACGACCAACGGUUGAUCAAAAAUCAAAGCAAAUUGUGCCUAACGUCGACAAGACAAGACAACGCAAAAUCCGACAAGUUUGGAUUCGGAAAGGUGAUGUCUUUCCUUGCUCUCCGUCUUAGUUUGUUUUGAUUGUUUAUGUAAUGCUUUGUUUGGUGCUUGUUGCAUAUUUUUUUUCAUUGCAUUACAUGAUGAUUUUCGUGUAUGAAAUUUAUUUUUAAAUUGAUUUGAGGAAAAUGGUUUGGGAAUUUAAAAUGUUUUUUUGUGAAAGGAGAUGAUUGAAAAUCUUUAUUUUGGGAGAUUAGAUUUUUUUCAAAGUGCCUUAAUCGGAAUUCAUCUUGAAUUAAAUUCAUAUUUAUUAUCGAUUUUACUCCACUUUUUGUUAUUUUGACGAUAAUUGAUUAUAUGAAUUCUUAAUAUAUUUAUUCAUCAAAAUUUUGAAAUCAAUUUUGAUCUUUUGGUGAUUAAUUCAUCUUGGUUGUGUGUGUUGAAUAUGAUGGAUGCAUAUUCACUAAUCGACUAAAAUUUUGUUAAAAUUAUUUUCAACUGUGAGAUUGUCUAAUUUAGGGAGAGUUUGAAUUAUUUUAAAAAAAAGAGAAAAGAUACUCCUAUAUUUAAAAGAUGUGGAAAGAGUUGCCUCUUAAAAGGAGUAUGAAAACUACCAUCACAUGUAGGAAAGAGCUACCACCCCGGUCGUCCGGCAAGUGCGUGAAGCUACCACAUGAAAAUUAAUUAAAAAGCCGAAAAGGUUAAAGAAAUUGAAUAUUUUAGACUUUUUCGGAGUUAUAAGGUGAUAGGAUGAAAAGAUGCUCAAAGAGCCACUCCCGGUGCCAUAUUAGUUAAAUCUCUAUUUUGAACGAGUUGCGACAAAUUAGUGUCAAUUUUGUUGAAUUUCUAAAAAUCAUUUUUCAUCAACUUACAUCUUGAUGGUUUUUGAAACACUAGAUUAUAUUAGAUUUCCAAAUUUUGAUGUUUUAAUGUAUUUUGACUUCCUAUAAUACUUUACUAUCAUCAUAAUGAUUUUUGGAGUACAAUUUGUAAGUUUUGGGGUAGCCCAGGGAUCUAUCUAGAUUGUAUCUAACACCUAGAGAGGGGUGAAUAGGUGUAAAAGCCGAAAACCACAAAUCUCAAUGCGAUAACAGUAAAUGCGGAAAAAUAAAAAUCACACCAAGAUUUACGUGGAAAACUCCAACUAGGAGUAAAAAACCACGGGACCAACAUGCGAUAACAAUCCACUAAGAAUAAAAUAUUACAAGGUGAUUUACCGAUUCCACGGACUCAAACCUCUCUUUUAUCUUCUCCGGAUCUCGCGCACACCAACGGGUUGUCCACGCCCCACGUCCGAAUCCACGAAUGCCACGUCCCGAAUCCACGAAACGUCCACAUUUGGAAUCCACGAAGCCUUGAUCACGCCGAAUCCAUGACGCCGACUCGAAUCGACGAGCACGCUCCGUCUGGAGCAAAAAUACCAAGAUUGAUGAUGAUUUAUUGCUUAGACAAUCAUUAAAGAACUGUAGAAGAUGUUUCUAAGCAAUAGCCGGAUCAAUUCCCCAUGAAGAACGAGAAAUUUUGAGUUACACGAAUUGAUCCGAUAGAAACUUGUUGUUCGAGAGAAGAAAGAAUGCACCCAACAAGUUUCUAGGGUUGCAAAAAGAUAUUCUAUCAUUCGUUAUCUCUUAGAAACGCCCAUACAUCUUAUUUAUAAGUUUAGAAGACUUAGAAACCAACUAGGAUUGCAAAAAUCCAAUUUUAAAAACUUAUGUCGUCCUCAUGGACCGGUCCUCUCAAGGAGACCGGUCUGUCAGAGACCAGUGCCUUGGGUGGGAGACCGGUCCCUCGCUGCGUGAUAGAAAACACAACGUUCGGGAACUGGUCUCUCAUGCCAGAAACCAGUCUCUCUCUUAGAGUCAAAAAUCCCAACGUUCAAGAACCGGUUUCUCAUGCCAGAGACCGGUUGCACCGACCAGGAGACCGGUCCCUCAGAUCAGGAAACCGGUUGCCUUGAACUUUCACGCAGAGAGGACUCUCGGGAACCGGUCUCUCAUCUCAGGGGACCGGUCCCAGCACAUUGAAAAAUUCAGUUUGUCCAGAUUCAUAUUUUAAAAACCAUCCUAAGUCUUCGAAACACUUUUAAACAUUUAUAAAUCAUCAUCAAUGGUUUUUAAACUUACCAAGCAUUAUGCAUUCAUGUUUUGAGUCUUCGAGUCUUCGAUCUUCAUCUCUUUUUCUUCAAACAUUCAAGACUAUGACUAACAUCACGAAAUAUGCCAACAUAAAAUCCGUAAUAAUCUCCCCCUUUGACAAUUUCGUGACAAAACUAAAAAAUACAUCAAAAUACUCACAAUGCUCAACUCUCCAAAAAAAUGAAAUUCAUUGCCAUCACCAAAACAAUGAACUUCUUGCGUGAAAAAUCCAAAGAAAAUACAAAAUUAUAAUUUCGCAACUCCUAAACAAACUCUAUGACUUAAAUACAAGGAGUCUUGAAGUCUUCGAGAAUCUGCAGAAAGAAUACAAAGAAUAUUUUCUCCUCGAACAGAGUUAGUAAAAAAAAAAUGAACAUCUCUCCCCCUUUGUUAAUGAAAAUCUGUCCCCCUCUGUUCAUGCAUCCUUUGUUAAUAAAAAUCUGUCCCCCUUUGUUCAUGCAUCUAAAUAUGAUCAAUAAAAAUUCACAUGAAAAAAUUGAAAAUCUCUUCUCUCUCUCUCUCCCUUUUUGUAAUGUACCGAAAAUUCGAAAAAUAAAUAUCGAACUUUAGUCAAAUUGACCAAAGUGCGAGGAUGGAACACUUCGGAAAGUCCGAAGGUGUUAAAAUGAUUAAAAGUGAGUUGUGGAAGGUUUUCGAGAGCUAAAGAAUUGAAUUCUGCAAAACUGCAGAUUUUCAGCUCUCGGGGACCGGUCCCUGUGGUUACGCAGCCUUUAUGGGGGUUAAUCCAAAAAUCUCCCAGUUAACGUGUAUCUUUGGAAGUACUCGUUUUCGGGGUUAAACCCACGGGAUCGAGGUAACAUAUAGUUUUGGAUCCCAAACUAGAGUAACCCUUCGUUUUCAUCGAAGUAAUAUGAGAUUUAUUGGGUAAUCUUGGUAAGAAUCCGAAAGGUUUUGGGAUCAAACCUAAAGUGGUAAUCUCCACCAGGUUCGAGUGGAUAUAUCGUUUUGAUCCAAAACUAGAGAAAUCUUCGUUUUCUUUCGAAGUUUUGAUGAUCUGUAAGGUAAUUUUUGGUAAAGAUACAAGUAAGUUUGGGUAAAGAUCCCAAAAUGAUGUAAUCCCAAGUUUCGAAUGGAACAUUCGAGAGGAAAGAACGGGAUCUCUCCUUCUUCUACUUCGGGGAAAACGAGAAACUAGAAGAAGAAGUGAAAGGAGAGGAAGAAAAGGAAGAAAGGGAACAGAAGAAGAAGAGGAAGAAACAGAAGAUCUCUCUCUUUCUCUCCUCUCUCACACUCUCCCUCACCUUACUCUCCUUUUCGGGGAGUCGGGUGAUGUAUCGAGUUACCCAACGUUUUUACGUUCUUUUGGGGAGUUGAAAAUAGAGACACGUGACGGACCUGACCCGUCAAAAGCGUCCGUCUCUGGCCAGAGGGGCUCGUCCCUGGCCAAGGGCUUGCAGGUGGGACGCGUCGGUCUCAGCGACGCGCGCUACGCUGGCCAGAGGGAGGCUACCCUGGCCAGAGACCCCCUGGCCAGAGAGUCCAUCUCUGGCCAAGGGCUCUCGAUUAGAAGGUCCUGAAUCGGCUAAAAAGCCGACAGAGUCAAGUAUGCGCAAGCCCCUGGCCAGAGAGGGAAGNCAAAUUGGCAUCGGUCCCGGGGCGUGACACUUUUUGUCAAAAAUUGCCAAAAGCAAGUACCAAAAAUAGAGAGUACCAAUAAUGUUAGUGCAUGAAUAGGAUAAAUUCACAUAGACUUUCGAAAGAACCAGAAAGGAGCACUUUGAAGAACUGUGGCCUCUUCGGAUUGUUGCAGCUCCUUCCAGAAGCCAUUAACCCUUUUAUUUUCUUUUUCUUUUCAUUUUCCAUAUUUAUCGUCGAGAAACAAACGUGCCCUGUAACAGAUUUUAAGAAAGAGAAAGGAGAAGUUUUGAUAAAGUUUGGAGAAAGAUGGAAAACCUGUAACCGGUUUUAAAACUGUGGCUACCAAUACACUUUGCUGGAUUUCAAAAAUUUUGAAUUAUAAAAACCUUUUAAACUUAAAUUAAUUUCAUACGAAUUAAGGACUUUACUCCAAAAAUCAUUAUAAUGGAGGUAAAAUAUUAUAAGAUUUCAAAAUACAUCGAAACAUCAAAAAUUUUGUUAUCAAAAAUGAUCUCGUGUUUCAAAAUCAUCAAGAUGUAAUGGUUCACGAAAAAUAAUUUUUAGCGGCAAAAUUGACACCAAUUUGUCGCAAUCCGUUCAAAAAAGAGAUUUAACUAUUAUGAUACCGGGGGUGGCUCUUUGAGCAUCUUUCUCAAACUAACACCUUAUUACUCCGAAAAUUUUAAAAUAUUCAUUUUGUUCAACCUUUUCGGUUAUUCAAAUCAAUCUUCAUGUGGUAGCUUCACAUACUUGCCGGACGACCGGGGUGGUAGCUCUUUCCUACAUGUGGUGGUAGUUUUCACACUCCUUUUGGAUGUAACUCUUUUCACAUCUUUUAAACAUAGGAGUUUUUGUUUUUCCCCUUUUUUUAAAAAAAUAAUUUCAAACUCCCCCUAAAUUAGACAAUCUCACAAUUGAAAAUAUUUUGACAAAUUUUAGUCUAUUAGCGAAUAUCCAUCUAUCAUAUCCAACACACAACUGAGAUAGAUUAAUCAUCAAGAGAUCAAAUUUGAUUUCAAAAUUUUGUUGAAUAUAUGUAUUAAGAAAUCAUAUAUUAAAUUAUCGUCAAAAUAAUUAAAAGUGGAGUAAAACCGAUACUUAAUAUGAAUUUAAUUUCAAGAUGAAUUUCGGUUAAAAACACUUUGAAAAAUUGUAAUCUCCCCAAAAUAAAGAUUUUCAAUCGUCUCCUUUCUCAAAAAAUUUUUAAAAUUUCCAGACAUCCUUCCUCAAAUCAAUUUUUAAAAACAAGUUUUACAUACGAAAAUCAACAUGUAAUGCAAUGAAUAAAAAUAUGCAACAAGCACAAAUCAAAGCAUUACAUAAUCAAUCAAAAUAAAUUAAGACGAAGGGCAAGGAAAGAUUUCACCGUUCCGAAUCCAAACUUGUCGGAUUUUGCAUUGUCUCGUCUUGUUGGUGUUAAGUGCCGUUUGCUUUGAUUUUUGAUCAACCGUUGGCCGUUUCGUCGCUUGAGGCUUCAGUUGAACUUGUCGUUUUGCAUUAGAAAUCCGGUUUGCUUGUGACUUAGGUGGGACUUGGUGUUGUGGCUUAGAAGUCCGAUUCCCUUGAGGUACUCGACUCACUUGAUUUUUCUUUUGAUUCCGUGGGGGAAGCCGAGUAGUUGAUGAUGCUGCUUGAUGAUUUGUAGUCGCCGAUUGAUGUGUAGACAUUGCCGAUUGAUUUUUCUUUUCCUUAUUUGGGCAAUUCUUUUUUAUGUGUCUUUUGAUGCCACAUUUAUGACAUACUUUCUCUUUCGAAGUUGUUGAGACUUUAGAAUUUGAUUUUUGAUCCUUCUCAACAUAUGUCCUUUCAUAGCCGAGGUCCAGCUUGUUUGUUUGACCUAAUCCGAGCAUAUGAUCUAGUUUCUUUGAUCUGGAAGAAAAUUUUUGAAGAUCGGAUUUGAGUUGACAAACUUAACUAGUUAAGACUUGAUUGGAUGCAUGAAUUUCUUGAAAUUGAUGCUCCAAAAAUCCAAUCUUGUCUUUAGAUGAUUUGACCGUUAAUUCCUCUUCCUCUAGCUUCUUUUGGAGGAUCGAAUUGUUUUUCAACAUUGCUUCCCUUUCCUCCUCAAGUGCUUUAUUCGUGGUCUUCAAAUUUUUGUUCUCCUCUUCAAUGUCCAAUAACCGACGUUUCAACUUCUUAUUAAGUUUGGCCAUCUUUUUCGAAUCGAUAAGAAGUUGGUUGUACGCUUCCACUAUAUCCUCGUCAUUGGACUCCUCCUCGCUUUCGCCAUUGUCGCUUGAAGACCCAUGCGAAGAGAUAGAAACAUUGGAAUUAGAAACAAUUGAAGAUAAACAAACAACGUUAGACGAAGGUAGAGAAGUGUUAGUAAAUAAAGCAAUGUGAUUACUCUUUUCUUCGUCACUUGAAGAAGAUUCACUAGAAGAAGAAUCAUCCUAAGUCUUAGCUUGCAAAGCCUUUUGCUUAUAAGUCUUCUUUGAAGGACAAUCCAUUGGAAUAUGGCCGUAACCUUUGCAUUUGUAGUAUUGAAUUUCGCCUUCAAAUUCAUCCUUUUCUUUCGAAGACUUUGCAAGUUUUUUAUCCUUAGAUUUAGAACUUGAAGAUUGUCUUGAAAAAGAUUUAUGCUUCGAAGAUGAAGCCUUGUCCGAAUUGUUCUUCUUUCGGAAAUUCCGUCGAAACUUCUUCGUGAGGAGCGCAAGUUGAUGUUCGAAAUCGGCGAGCGAAAUAUCUCCGUCGGACUCCAAGUCGUCGUCUUCUUUCUUUGUCGAUUUGAGUGCAACCCCUGUACUUUUAGAAGAAGACUUGGCAAAAGAUUGAUUAGUAGGAAAAGUCAUCUCAUACGUUUGUAGAGCGCCUACUAAUUCUUCGACUUUCAUCUCGUCCGGAUGCUUAACGGUUUCUAUCGCGGCAACUUUUAUCUAAGCGUUCCGGAAGAGUUCGAAGAAUCUUUCUAACAACCUUAGCAUCCGGGAUUUUCUCUCCAAAGUUAGCGCAUGUAUUCACAACGUCUUGUAGACGUGUAUAGUACUCGGUAAAGGUCUCAUUUUCGUCCAUAAAGUUGAAUCAAAUUUACUUGUUAACAUUUGUAAUUUUUGGACCUUUACUAAGCUCGUUCCUUCAUGCGUAACUUGUAGAGUAUCCCAAAUUUCUUUGGCGGUUCCACACGUUGAAACACGAGUAAACUCCAUUUGAGACAAUGCAUUAAAUAAAGCGUUUAUGCCCUUGCCGUUAAACGAAGAUGCCUCGUUUUCAUCUUUUGUCCACUUGUUUCAUGGUUUUGGCGUUUCAACAUUCUCGACCUUUUCAAUAGGAUGUUUCCAUCCAAAUUCUGUUGAUUGCCAAACGCACUCAUCGAUUGCGAUUAGAAAAGCUCUCAUGCGAACUUUCCAAUAAGCAUAGUUUGUGCCAUCGAAGAGCGGUGGUCGAUUAAUGUUUCCGCCUUCGGCCAUUAGAUAACAAUUUAUCUUGAUCCCGCUCUGAUACCAAUUGUAAGUUUUGGGGUAGCCCAGGGAUCUAUCUAGAUUGUAUCUAACACCUAGAGAGGGGUGAAUAGGUGUAAAAGCCGAAAACCACAAAUCUCAAUGCGAUAACAGUAAAUGCAGAAAAAUAAAAAUCACACCGAGAUUUACGUGGAAAACUCCAACUAGAAGUAAAAAACCACGGGACCAACACGCGAUAACAAUCCACUAAGAAUAAAAGAUUACAAGGUGAUUUAUCGAUUCCACGGACUCAAACCUCUCUUUUAUCUUCUCCGGAUCUCGCGCACACCAACGGGUUGUCCACGCCCCACGUCCGAAUCCACGACGCCACGUCCCGAAUCCACGAAACGUCCACACUUCGAAUCCAUGAAGCCUUGAUCAUGCCGAAUCCAUGACGCCCACUCGAAUCCACGAGCACACUCCGUCCGGAGCAAGAAUACCAAGAUUGAUGAUGAUUUAUUGCUUAGACAAUCAUUAAAGAACCGCAGAAGAUGUUUCUAAGCAAUAGCCGGAUCAAUUCCCCAUGAAGAACGAGAAAUUUUGAGUUACACGAAUUGAUCCGAUUGGAACUUGUUGUUCGAGAGAAGAAAGAAUGCACCCAACAAGUUUCUAGGGUUGCAAAAAGAUAUUCUAUUCUUCGUUAUCUCUUAGAAACACCCCUACAUCUUAUUUAUAGGUUUAGAAGACUUAGAAACCAACUAGGAUUGCAAAAACCCAAUUUUAAAAACUUAUGUCGUCCUCAGGGACCGGUCCUCUCGAGAAGACCGGUCUGUCAGAGACCGGUGCCUUGGGUGGGAGACCGGUCCCUUGCUGCGUGACAGAAAACACAACGUUUGGAAACCGAUCUCUCUCAGCAAGUCAAAAAUCCCAACGUUCGGGAACCGGUUUCUCAUGCGAGAGGCCGGUUGCACCGACCAGGAGACCGGUCCCUCAGAUCAGGAGACCGGUUGCCUUGAACUUCCACGCAGAGAGGACUCUCAGGAACCGGUCUCUCAUCUUAGGGGACCGGUCCCAGCACAUUGAAAAACUCAGUUUGUCCAGAUUUAUAUUUUAAAAACCAUCCUAAGUCUUCCAAACACUUUUAAACUUUUAUAAAUCAUCAUCAAUGGUAUUUAAACUUACCGAGCAUUAUGCAUUCAUGUUUUGAGUCUUCGAGUCUUCGAUUUUCAUCUCUGCUUCUUCAAACAUUCAAGACUCCGACUAAUAUCACGAAAUAUGCCAACUUAAAAUCCGUAACACAAUCUUUAAUCUUUAUGAAAUUAAUUUAAUUUUGAGGUAUUUUUUAAUGAAAAUUUUUAAAAUUUUUGAAAUCUGUGAAAGUGUAUCGGUACAAAAUACCGUGUACCGCUACAAAACACUGUAGCCGCGGAUAUUAUAACCGGUUACAGGGCUCGAUUUUCUUUCAAAAACUCUUUCAAAAUCCCUCCUUUCUCUCUCUAAAAAUCCCAGGUGGUCUUCCUCUUUCAAAUUCACGUAUUUUCCCCCUAAAUUUGUAAGUAUUUUGCUUAGAUUUGAAGAUCUAAUCCCGAUUUUGCUAUUUUUUCGAAAAAUUCCGAGUUGAAACAUGAUCUGCAUUUUGAUUCGUUUUUUAUGCAAAUUUUUGCUGUGAAUUAGUAUUUGGACAUAUAAUCUUGCUUCUAGAACACUUAGAUUAGAUUAUAACUAUCACGCCCCAAUCCCCGCCAAUUUGGUCGGGUUCGGGUCGCGUCGACAGACGCCGAACGGACAGAGCCUCCCCUGUCCGCCCAAGGCUCUAACAAUACAUAUAAUUAAGCAAUUAACAAGAGAAUUGCAUAUAUAAUACAAGGCUUACUCGAGGGCAAGCAUCAACGGAAGCGAAAGCUCUAAGCUAAAUAUACAACACACAUGAUAUUUGAUUUCUUUUGAACCAAACUCAAGUAAAUAAUACUAUUACAUUCCAUUCAACCAUCAUAUCUUUUUACAUUUAGUCAUCCACCAAAUACAUGAUUGUUUUCACUUUACAUACCUAAUUCAACAAAAUAAAGUUGAUACAUGUAUAACAAAAGGGAAUGACUAUAAAAUGCAUAAAGUCCCCGCGCCAAACCCUUGCCUCGGUCCUCCGCCGCCCCGCUCGUACUAGGACCUGUAGGGUUAGUGGUGUGAGAACUACAACAAAGUUCCCAAUGGGCUCGGCAUCCGACCUCGCCGACUUACCCACUAGGUCUAUCCAGGCAUAAGUAUUUCAAAGGAAGAAAAGUAACCAUUACUAGUGCAACUAAUACUAUGCCUGCAAGAAAGAGUCAGUAGAUAAACAAUUGCAAUACCAAAAUGGAAAUGUAUGCAUUUUCCAAUCAUAAUCAAACUUUGGCUCUUACCCAAUCUUGCCGGUUAACUCUGUUAACCCCAAUGACUCACAACCCAAAAUCCCUUAAUAACGGGGGACUCGAACCUCCCUAGGGACCGUCAACUGGUGGGACUUUACCAUGCCCAGUGGUGACCAACUCCGGAGCGCACCGCUCGAGGGGGAGCGACCUCCCUCAAGCCAAGACGAAAGGUGAGUGUCGAUCUUAUCCUCAACUUGAGGAUUCAUAGCCACUAGUCACAAUGCCAGUAUCACGAUAGGUCUCUACCUAUUUAUUUUUGCCACUUUCAAGGCCUUGUCUUCGACCAUGUCAUUAUGAGUCAAAAUAUUUUCAACGGUCAUCUCUCAAUGCAAUUCUUGUUUCUAUGUCAAUGACACCCUUGUUUUCUAAUGUCCAAGUCCAUUCUUACAUUCACACAUCUCGAGGGUCCAAUCACACAUGUCCGUUUUGGUCCUAUCAUUCUCUAUGUUCAGCUACGUUAGAAACAUAAAAAUGAAGUCAAACCAAGUUCCACAUGUAGCUACCCUACUAUGCAUGAAUGGAUAUAUAUAUAUAUGCUCAAAAAUAGAGAAACAGACAUAGAGGGGAAUCCAACGAUUCCGGCGUGCACCCCCCACCUCUAUGAGUCGUGUGGGUGUAGAAUAUUAAGGCCCCCGCACUAUACGAAAGCCGAUUCCGCGCCCUAUAAUCAAAUAGUGCCAUAUUAGGCCUUUUUGUACAUGAACUAUACUCUAACAUUUUCGAAAUAUUAAACGAAGUUGUCCAACGUGUUUUGGGCACCCCCAAUUGGGUUUCUACGGGGUCAAUUUGUCCCCGAAAAAUCCUAGGGCAAAAACCCCAAAUUCAAGCCCUAAUCUUGCCAUUUAGGGUUUUCCCAUAAAUCGAUCCCAACCCUACGCAAAGAAUAGCAUAGGAUCAUCUAAGAAGCAUCCUAAUAAGGUUUCUAGACCUUUGGUACCAACCCUAGGGCUCCAAACAUCAUCUCCAAGGAUUCACCAUGAGAGCACCUUGAGCUCUCAUGGGUUCCAUGGUGUUCAUGGCUCAAAAGAGCUUCUAAAACCUCUAAGGAGCACAAAGCUCCAAAUCUCUUAACCAAAAUCCAAACCCUAGAGGAAAACCUUACAAAACUUACCUCUAGUCCAAGCCCCACCAAGAUUCUCCUUGUUGGAGAGCUCCUAGAACCUCCAAAGCCUCCAAAUCCACCUUCUUCUCCAAGCUCUUCUUCUUCUUCUCCAAGUUCUAGAGGAGUUCUAGAGAGAGAAAGAGAGAAAAUGAGAGAGGAGGAGAGAAAUGGCUGUGGGAGAGAGGGGUUGGGCCAUAUAUAGUGUUGUAACAAUUGCACUUAAGCCCCUCUACUUGUUUCCACUUGAACUGCCCAGACUGGGCACUUUUCGCCUUCGGGGACCGGUCUCCCCGACCAGGGACCGGUUCCCGAACGGGGGUUUUCCAGGACUUAGCCAAAUUUUCGAGUUUUUCGGCUGUUGCGCAGCGAGGGACCGGUCUGCCCGUCAGGGACCGGUCUCCCGAGGACCGGUCUCACCACCAGGGACCGGAUGCCUCAGGAUUUCCUGGCAGGCUACGCGCACGGGGACCGGUCUCUCCUUCAGGGACCGGUCCCCGAGAGCUAAAAAUCUGGGACUUAGCCAGAUUUCCAGAUUUGCUCUCCGGGUCCCUUUUUGCUCCAUUUAUGAACUCCAAUGCACCUAGGGUCCACUGUAACUCGUUCAAUUCCGCGUUCCGCUCGUUUCGACGAAACUCGGCACGACUUACGAGGGAUGUGGUAUGUUACAAUAACGUUGUAUUUUUUGCUAAUCUGUGAUCUGUACCACAAUAUACAUGAAAUUUCGGGAUUUUUGAUAAAAUGUCAUUUUUGAUGAAAAUUUUUGCAUGAUCUGUUUAGAAAUAACGUUAGUAUGCAUUCUAAUAUUCUUAGAAAUUUUUUCGCUAUUUUUACAGAUUUUUUCAAGAUUUUGUUCAUGCAAGGUUAAUUUUUAUAUAGGAAAAAUGACGUUUUCGCUCAUGUUGCUGAUUUUGGUCCUAAUGGCUGCUGGUCGUGACCGAGGUGGUGGUAGAGGCCAUCGUGGGGCCUUUAAGAGGACUCAUACUGCAGGCGAGUCACCCGGGUCUGAUCCGGAUUACCAGGCAAGUUCGCCUGAGGAAGCUGAAGAACCUAUUGCUCGUCCUGACAAGGGCAAAGGUAUCGCUGGAGAAUCCUCGCGUGGAGGUGGUUCUCGUGCAAGAGAGACACGAUCAAAGCAUCUCGCGAAUGUUCUUGUCACGCCCCGGGACCCAGCGGAAGCCCGCCCGGCGCGUGCCCAGACCCGCCAUAUGUCUACAACAUAUAAGGCGUCUACAAACAACAAUAACAAAAGCAAUAAUAAAAGACAUCUAGGAGUAUCAGAGCAUAAUAAAUGUCUAAAUGCUACAACAAGAAAUAAGGAUGAAACUGUAACUUCACUAAAUAAGACAUUAAGUAAAUACAAUAGGAAAUCCCAAAUAUAAGUGCUNUUUUUCUGGUUCUGUUACAGCAGCUUGUAAGCUCACGUGGUACUGAAUACUUGGCAGUGGUGGGUUGGAUUGAGGAUAUUUCAAUCAGCAGGAAGCCGAGAUACAAGUGAGAAACCGAUAUAAGUGAAUAGAACCUCAAUUACGAAUUACUAAUGCUAUUUCUGAACAUUGUUCGCAGGAGGUUUACGACAGAUUGUCGAAUGGUUCUCAGCUAAUAUCCGAGAGCUUUCGAAGGUUUAAUUCGAUGUAACAACUUGAACCAAAUCAGGGAUUCAAGCUAUUAAGGUGAGGAUUUUGCCAAUUUGGACAUUGUGGCCGUAGUUACAAUGCGAUUUUGAUACCUAGUUUACAGCAGGUUUGAGAACCGAGCAAGUUGAUUUCGGGACUACUUUGGGCUGGUUCGAGCUUAGUACUAAGUACUUUUACCUAGAUUGAAGAGUAGUUUCGACUGUAUCUCAAUCUAGGGGACUUGAAGACUUCAGAUUUCCCGAGCUUAUUAAUUCGACAAGAGGCGCCUUACAUCGGUGGGUCGGACCUUCCCGAAAUGGGUGAAUUUCCCUCUAUGUCUUCUUUGACAUUGAGUCGAAGUUACUACAUAUUUAUGUGAAUAUAUGUAUAGUUCAAAGCAUUGAGACAUGCAUUAAUGUGUAGAUCAUAAUGGAAGAUUCAUGACUUGUCCACCCUACAUGGUCACAUGUUAAAGUACUAUGUAUUCAUGGUACUAGCAGCUUGCGUAUACAAUUUAGCUUGAUGUUAUCCAAGAGGAUAUAAUGGUAGAUUCGUGAGUGUACCAUUUAGUUCAGUUGAACAGCAAAGGGAAUGAUGUACUUAGAAUCAACUACGCAAUUUUUAUGUGGCAAGUAUAUUGGCUAAACUUUGAAUAUAUCAUGUAGACGCAUUUGCUUGAGUAUACAUUCAUAACUGUAGAAUGAAUGAUAUAAAGAUCAUGUGAAGAAUCUUCUAUCGCUUCUUUUAUCUGCUUACUUUACCCAGUUAGUUUCUACUUUCAUAUGAUAGAGUCAUGUUAUGGUAUAUGUUCUAGUAAUUAACUAGAAUUUAGUAUGAUGGCAUAUUUUGAAAGAUAUACAACUGAAUAUAAUCUAGUAAAUAACUAGAUUAGGAUAUGAUAACAUGCUUGCAUAGUCAAGUAGAUGUAAUUGCAUAGUAUUUAUUUACCCCAAGUAGUGGAGGUUUACAUUGGACUACAGGAUAUGUGCCAUGAGUCCUUGAAUAGGACGUUAUUAAACCACUUUCCUUAUGUGUAAGGAGUAGUGAGACUGACCAGGUAUAGCCUGAUAGAAUCACUAGUAUGAUGUAAAGCUUAAACUUGUCAAGUUAUACUAGUUAUUGGUAGAAUCAUGUCAACAAGUGUUGAUAGUGACUUAGGAUGGGACACUACAGUGUCGACCUUGGGUCGAGUUGAGAUUCCAUGUCAGAGAUAUGAUGCUGUUGAGAUAUUUGUGCCAUGGAUUACAGCUUCAUGCCAUUAUGCUCUUUCGCACACGCUUGCGGGGGUCGCGCCUCCCAAGCCAGCACUCCGGAGUAGGUUAGCGACAGAUGCUCGCUUAUGUACGAAGUGAGCGCCGAAGUGGAUUGCCGUGGGGAGUGUAUACUACCACGGGGCCAUUAGGCACGGCGCGGCUAUGAGCUUACCUUGUGUAAAUCUAUUGGAAAUUGGAUUAUAAAGCUUAGCUGGACAUAGUAAAGUUACUUUGUAUCUUUGGACAAGUGAACUUAUUGAUGAACAAGCUAGAAAGUUGACAUUUAAAGUAAGCUUUGUGAUGUAUAACCUAGGAGGUGACAUCGUAAUUGGUUAGUAGCAUAAUGACAAUAUAUUUCAUUUUUGCUAAUAUAAAAGGUAAGUACAUGAUAUUACCAGUGAUUUUAGUAAUUUGAAUUAUCUUGCAUACAAUCUGGUACAUGCCUAGUUAAAUUGGCAAUUAAUAUGAAUGAUAGAAUCGAUCAUGAUAACUGAUACCUGCAACCUGUUGAAAUUUAUUAUUGUUGAGCAAAUAGCUAAUAGCAUGAGUAGUUUACUUUUAUACCUGUUGCAUUUACUUGCUUAUUUAUUGCUAUCUACUCAUGCCACAGUUGACCUAGUGGUGUACUUCGCCACUCUCGGCGGCUUACCCACUGGGAACUAUUGUUAAAUAGUUCUCACACCCUCUUUGUUGUUGUUUUUACAGAGCCUUCCACAGCGGGAAAGGUUAGGGUCCCUGGCGAGGGGUCAGCAACUAGCUAGAGCUUCCACGAUGCUAGAUAGAUGGAACCACUUCAGCUUUUCUAGUUUAAUACUGUAUUUUAUAGUGAGACUAUGUAUAUUAUAGUUGUUCUUUCCUAUUGUGAAGUUUUGGGUUGUAUAAGUUUAAACUCUUAAGUUUUGCUCUGAUUACCUAGUUAGAAUUGAAUUCUUUUACUAUACUAUUUGUAGACGCCUGGUGUAUACUUAAGUUGUGGUGUACACGGCGGGUCUGGGCACGCGACUGGUGAGCUUCCGCUGAAAUUCAGGGCGUGACAGAUUAUAGUGGUAUCAGAGCCUAGGGUUGAGUCUUAGUGGACCUAGUAAACCUUAGGCCUGUUGGACGAUCAGGAUUAGGAGCGUGAGAGACGGGGUCUUUUGCGACUAUUUUGGGCGAAAGUAUUAUGAUUGGGUUAUACUUAUAACUCCAAAAUUGUUGGAGUUCGAUUGAAAUGAAUGACCUCUAUGUCCUUCCAAUAUCACGUUGGCGGCCGACAACGUGAUAUUGGGGAAUAGGGGGCGGUCAUUUCAUUACUUUCGCAUGAUUGGGAUCUUAUGUUUAUGAGUGGAGCUACGAUAGCAUGGGUUGUUUUAACCUGUGCCUAUUUUGUUGUUGCAGCUUGCGAUCAAAGAUGCACCGUACGGCAACUGAGGCGAUCGACCCAGAAAAGCUUGUAUCUUCUGAAUCGGGCGAAAUUCGGAAACUGAAAGAGCAGUUGGCUACUCUAGUUGGAGUAGUGGAGCGACAAUCGAAUGUGACGUUACUUCAAGCCGAGGUUUUGCGCCGACAAGAUGAAGGAAUCAGACGGUUGGAGAACUUAUUGAUUCAACAGACGGCUGAUCUCAAGAAAUUCCACGAGGUUUUGGAUCGUACAUCGACCGUAAGAAAAGGAAUGGAAGGUACUGAAAGAGUAAAGGAGACCACCAAACGUGAUUAGUUACAGAUUGGGGAAUCAUCAAGGAAUGUAAAGAAGAAUCAACCUCGAGGACAUGGUUCUUUUUCUAAGCGAAGAAUAUUGAAUCGUCGACCAUCACGGCGAUGUGUGAUUUGUGGAGGUCUGCAUGUUCCCCGAAAGUGCCCUCAGUGGAAAGGAAAGUGUUUUGUUUGUGGUCAGGAGGGCCAUUUUCGAUCUGAGUGCCCAAGGAAUAACAUGUUGACUAAGGUGUCUGCAUCGACUUGGUUGCAAGAAGCACUCAGUGGAGGUACGCCGACGGAAUUGUAGAGCCAGAUACGACGGCGGGGAUGCUUACUGCAGGUAGUACAUUGUGCAACGCCUCUAUAAUUCGAGUAUGAUUAUAAUGACUAUUUAAUUGCAUUCUUUGUCGGCUGUUGCCGAGUUGAGUAGCAUUAAUUCCCUCCUUAAUGCAUGUAGGAUUGAUUUAACAGAAUGGUCUACUUGACGCUCUGCCUAAUGAGAAAGCUUAGUAUACGCCAACAAAUGGAUUGGCCUUAUCUAUAAUAGAGUGGUUUUAAUUAAAAUUUAGUUGUGAGGUACUUGUACCAUGGGUUGCGCGAACUAAUUUGAUUCGCCUUGGAAAUUUGAGCAUUAUAUAAUGCAUUUUGAAAUUUAAUCUCGCUGAUUGCGAAGAUUGUUGCUUUACCUAAAUUUGAGCAUUUAUAGAGAAGUAGGAGCCUAUUUGACUGAUGAUUUAAAUGUAAGAACCCUCGAAAUGAAGGGUAAUUCUUGAGAAGUGGUUGUGGUAUUUCUGAUCAAGUCACAAAUUGCGAACUUGACUUAUAGAGAAUGUUUUUAUGCCUAGCGCUUCAUUUUUGGUGAAGUAAUUCCACUUGUUGUGAGAUUAGAUGAGUUAUUCGACUAUGUGUCGAAUAUCGUGAUUUCAGUUGAAAACACGAUUAAGUAGUUGGGCUAUGUUGAGAUCUGUUGAUCUUUUAAUCAGCCUUUAGCAUUAGGUGCAUUUUAUAGAUAGAGUAGCAAUCUGAGGAAGUUGUAGUCUUCCUUUGUAGUCUUCCUCGACAGAGAAUGUCGUGAAGGGGUUUGUUCAGUUGUUUGUUUUAUGAACCCUGCAAGGCAGAUAAUGAUUGACCAAGCAGAAGAAUUAAAAGGAUUGAGAUGAGACUCUCCUAAUGGCACUAAGUAGUUUGGAAUAUUGAGAAAGAAAUUACCCAGUUACUUGUUACUUUCUCUUCGGAUUUUAGUUAUGUAUAAUGGAACUAAGCUUCAGGGAACAAACUGCAUGAGAUCAGUCUUUAGGGAUUAAUAUCUUUUGACUGAUGGUCAUAACCGGAUAAAUCUCAUACAGUUCGAAAGCAAAUCGUGAUGUUCCAAUUGUGAUUUGAUGGGAAGCUUUUAUCAAACUCUUCCUUAAUUAUAGAGUGAUAUGUAGUAUAAUAGCAAUAGAGAACGGGUGGGUGAAGUAUAAGUUGAUUUCCCCUCUAUUGCCUAAAUUGGAUUUGGGACAAUGAAUACUUUGAGCAUCACACUCUCAGAACAGUAUCAAAGAAAGUUUAGCUGAUUGAUCUAUAGGAUCAACGUUUAUUUGAUUGCUCUACUUACAGGAUCAAAUAGUAAAUCAGGAAUCCACCUUUGGUGGAUUGAUGGAAAAGAUAAUCAAUUUCAAUUUGUUAUUGAAGGAGUACUACCAGGGAUAACUAGUUCAUUAUCAAGCUAGUUAUGAUUGUGGAAUAUAGUAACUACAAGACAUAUGGGUAUUUCUUCCCUUAUUAAACCCUGGAGUGGCAGUGCAGCAAGAAUGCAAUUCCUGAAAAGUUGUGACUACUAGAUGAUGCAAAUUAAUCAUUGGUAUAUGAUCAUCCUGUAAAGCACAAGAUAUACAUCAGAGGCAAACUAUGAAGCCUAUUAAGGAAUGAUGACGGAACAAGUUGGACUUCAGCCUUAACCUAUUUGAGAAAAUAAGAAACGGAUUUCGUCUAUAAAGGUAACAGAUUUUAUGAAGAAUGGAGAGACUGAUUGAGCAAAUUAUAGUAAAAGAUGAAUUUCAUCUUGGAAUAGAAUUGCACUAAUAGUGCAAUCUCUUAAAGAGUUUUGAGUUUUGAGAAUAAGCUGAUAAUUGAGAAUUCCAUUAUUCUCCAUUAAUAUAUGAUAAUUCUUUGGAACUUGAGACAUGUACCAGGUGUAACUAUUAAACCCUACUGAAAAUGGUACCAUUGGAAUUCUUCUUAUCAAAUAAAUGAUUGAACUCCCUUCAUGUGGGGAUGAUGAGAAGAGUUGGAUUUUAUUCUCGAAUCAUUAGCAGAAAUGGAACUUCAUCCAUUAAAAUCAUGAAUUUCAUGAAUGAAAGAAGAACUUUUUAUUGGGAGAAAGUGAUAUGAACUUAUGAACAAAGAUGGAAUAUAUUUUCCAUCCUUUUCAGAUGAUAUUGAACGAGGAUUCAGUCCUAGUUUCGCGGACGAAACUUCUAUUUAGGAGGGGUGAAUGUAAUACACUGAACAUCGGCAAACUGCGAAUUGGAGGGUUGGAAUAGUGAUUGGAACUCUUCUAUAACUUUUGAAGGAUUGUUGAGAGGCUUCAGCGAAUUACUGGAGCAAGCAGAUAACUUGAAAUGGAAAAGUGCAUCGCAAAUGCACUAUUCUAUUGCAAUGCUCAGAAUUUAGUCAAUUACGAAGUUCGAGUGAGGGGAAUGACAUUCGGAACCUCCCUACAUGUUUUAAAGAGUUUAAAGAUGUUUAUGGACAAGUUUGAGAGGGAUCGGAUUGUCGGAGACAAGAAAGUGCAUUGCACUUGCGGAUUCAGCACUUUUGCAUUGGUGUACCGGUACAACCUUCAGGCUGUACCGGUACAGAAAGCAGCAGAGGCAGCAGCUGCGUGGCAGCUUGGGUAUUUUGGUCUUUUUACUCUCCAAACUUAUCUUUAACACCCCUACUCGGCUCCAGAGGGUACCUAAGGGGUGUUAGGACUCUGAGGAUCAGAUUUGAAGCUCCUCUUUUCUCUCUCUAGGGUUUUCUUCUCCCUCUAAGAGGAAAGCUAGGAGUUGGAGCUGAUUUCUUUCCCUUUUUUUGAAGGUUGCUGAUUUAGAGAAUUUAGAGAAGCCUUCUUCUUAGUAGAUGAAGAGUUUGCUGAUGCUUCAUCAACCUUAAUCCUAGGAUUAUCUAUGUUGAAGUUUGGGAAAAGUAAGUUAUGUAAUUCAUUACCAAAUUCUUGUGUGUGUAGUAAUGGAUUAACUUAAGAGUAAGUUUCCUUGUUGUAGUUGGCAAGGGAGUUGCAGCCGCAGUAGAAACUAGUUUUGGCUGGGGAUUACUCCACUCGAAUCAAGGGGAAAACUGAAAUUAAGUUUUGAACAGGUGAGCAAUUGAGUAUCGACCUUAGGGUUAUGUUCUAGUGGAGUUAUUAGUGGAAUUGUGAUGCUGUUUUUCUGGUUCUGUUACAGCAGCUUGGAAGCUCACGUGGUGCUGAAUACUUGGCAGUGGUGGGUUGGAUUGAGGAUAUUUCAAUCAGCAGGAAGCCGAGAUACAAGUGAGAAACCGAUAUAAGUGAAAUAGAACCUCAAUUACGAAUUACUAAUGCUAUUUUUGAACAUUGUUCGCAGCAGGUUUCUGACAAAUUGUCGAAUGGUUCUCAGCUAAUAUUCGAGAGCUUUCGAAGGUUUAAUUUGAUGUAACAACUUGAACCAAAUCAAGGAUUCAAGCUACAACCUUGUAUAAGGUGAGGAUUUUGCCAAUUUGGACAUUGUGGCCAUAGUUGCAAUGCGAUUUUGAGACCUAGUUUAUAGCAGGUUUGAGAACCGAGCGAGUUGAAUUUCAGGACUCCUUUGGGCUGGUUCGAGCUUAGUACUAAGUACUUUUACCUAGAUUGAAGAGUAGUUUCGACUGUAUCUCAAUCUAGGGGACUUGAAGACUUCAGAUUCCCCGAGCUUAUUAAUUCGACAAGAGGCGCCGUAUAUCGGUGGGUCGGACCUUCCCAAAAUUGGUGAAUUUUCCUCUAUGUCUUCUUUGACAUUGAGUCGAAGUUACUACAUAUUUAUGUGAAUAUAUGUAUAGUUCAAAGCAUUGAGACAUGCAUUAAUGUGUAGAUCAUAAUGGAAGAUUCAUGACUCUUCCACCCUACAUGGUCACAUGUUAAAGUACUAUGUAUUCAUGAUACUAGCAGCUUGCGUAUACAAUUUAGCUUGAUGUUUUCCAAAAGGAUAUAAUGGUAGAUUCGUGAGUGUACCAUUUAGUUCAGUUGAACAGCAAAGGGAAUGAUGUACUUAGAAUCAACUACGCAAUUUUUAUGUGGCAAGUAUAUUGGCUAAACUUUGAAUAUAUCAUGUAGACGCAUUUGCUUGAGUAUACAUUCAUAACUGUAGAAUGAAUGGUAUAAAGAUCAUGUGAAGAAUCUUCUAUCGCUUCUUUUAUCUGCUUACUUUACCCAGUUAGUUUCUACUUUCAUAUGAUAGAGUCAUGUUAUGGUAUAUGUUUUAGUAAGUAACUAGAAUUUAGUAUGAUGGCAUAUUUUGAAUGAUAUACAACUGAAUAUAAUCUAGUAAAUAACUAGAUUAGGAUAUGAUAAUAUGCUUGCAUAGUCAAGUAGAUGUAAUUGCAUAGUAUUUAUUCACCCCAAGUAGUGGAGGUUUACAUUGGACUACAGGAUAUGUGCCAUGAGUCCUUGAAUAGGACGUUAGUAAACCACUUUCCUUAUGUGUAAGGAGUAGUGAGAGAUUUUGAGUGACUGACCAGAUAUAGCCUGAUAGAAUCACUAGUAUUAUGUAAAGUUUAAACUUGUCAAGUUAUACUAGUUAUUGGUAGAAUCAUGUCAACAAGUGUUGAUAGUGACUUAGGAUGGGGCACUACAGUGUCGACCUUGGGUCGAGUUGAGAUUCCAUGUCAGAGAUAUGAUGCUGUUGAGAUAUUUGUGCCAUGGAUUCAGUUAUGCCAUUAUGGCCUUUCGCACACGCUGCGGGGGUCGCGGCCUCCAACCAGCAUCCCGGAGUAGCUUAGCUGACAGAUGCUCGCUAUGUAGCGAAGUACAGCGGCCAAUGGAUUGGGCCGUGGGAGUGUUAUACCCGGGCAUUAGUAACGGUGCGGCUAUGGAGCUACUUGUGUAAUCUCAUUGAAAUUGGUUAUAAAGCUUAGCCGACAUAAGUAAAAGUUUACUUGUGUCUUGAACAGCGAACUUUAACUUGAUUAAAGCUAAAGUUGAUCAUUAAAGAAGUAGUGGAUGUAUAAAUAGGAGGUGACAUCGUAAUUGGUUAGUAGGCAUAUGACAAUGAUAUUUCAUUUUAUUGCUAAUAUAAAAGGUAAAGUUAAUGAUAUAACGGAGUGAUUUAGUAUAUUGAAUUUUUAAUAUGGAUACAUCUGGUAUAUGCCUAGUUUAAAUUGGCAAUUAUAAUAAUGAUAGAAUCGAUCAUGUGAUAACUGAUACUGCAACCUGUUGAAAUUUAUUAUUGUUGAGCACAUAGCUAAUUAAGGCAAGAGUGUUUUACUUUAUCUCUGUAUGAAUUUAAUUUGCUUAUUUAUUGGCUAUCUACUCAUGCCGACAGUUGACUAGUGGUGUACUCGCGCUCUCGGCGGCUUACCACUGGAAAACUAUGUUAAACUAGUUUCUCACGACCUCAUUUGUUUUGUUUUUACAGAGCUUCCAGCGGGAAAGGCUAGGGCCUGGGCGAGGGUAACACUAGUACGAGCUUCUAGAUGCUAGCAUAGAUGGAAGCCACUUCAAUUUUUAGUUUAAUACUGUAUUUAUAGUGAGAUCUCAUGUAUAUUAUAGUUUUCUUCUCUAUUGUGAGUUUUGGGUUGUAUAAAGUUUAAACUCUUAGUUUUGCCUGAUUACCGGCUAGUGUAGAAUUGAAUCUUACUAGAGCUAUUUGUAGAACGCCUGUGUAUACUUAAGUUGUGGUGUACACGGGGGUGCUGUGCAGCAUGUGAGCUUCCGCUGAAAUCCAGGCGUGACAUUAUCAAGUCUUCAUAUAUUGGGAGACAGUUUUGUCGGCGAUUGCAAGGCAUGGAGGCGGAAAAUAUGCAUACGUAGAUCCGCAAGACGUGCGAUCUGGGGCAUCAUUUAAUCUCAUUGGUGAUGAGCUACAAUGUUCAUCUAGAAUUGGAAAAAAGAUUGUUGGGAUUGUGGUGCUUCUUAUAUCUUGCUUUGACAAUUCCUGAGAGGUAGGCUGCGGGGUAAACAUCAAUAUUUUUUCUGAUGUGGAAAGAAUGACCCACUUAGACAGUCUUCAGUCGCGUGAAUCUCAUUCGUUUCCAUUGAUUGAUACAUUGAGGAUUCUGUAAGAUACCGGGUGACGUUCUGUGAGAAUACGACAGCUGGACUUGGACGAUGAUGCGUAACUUUAGGGCCUAGUCAGUCAGACUCUGGGACGUUUCCAGCAAACAAAAGAUCGUCAGUGCAGCUUCGCAGUUCGCACCUCCACUCGAGAGAAGGUGAGGAUUUCCAGUAGGGGGAGUGUUAUUGUAGAAUCAUUACAUGAGGUACUCUCUUUAAAGAGAAAGUGGUAGAUCUUGCAAAAAGGUGGAGGUGGGAAUAAGAGAAUUAUGGAGAAACUGGGAUAUAGGCCAUCGAUUAUAAUAUUUCUACUCAGGCUACGUACACUAACUUACAGGGUUGACGUCGAGAACACCCAGUCAUGUCCCUCCAGUGGUGCUCUGAGGCUAGGGGAUCUGGAGCUGGAGAGGAGAUAUGAUGAUGAUGAUGACGGUGGAACUGAUUGACUUUUCCUGAGUGUGUUUUACUUUAUUUGGCUUUUUAGGACGAUGUUUAUAGUUUAGCUUGCUUGCUUACUUCCUGUGCUUGUCUUUAGUGUAUACUAUGACUUGAACUACUCUUAUACUCUUCUAGUAUGUUUUCUCUCCUUUAUAUGCUUUGUCUUUGGCCUUGACAAAAAAAGGGAGAGCAUGAUGCACAGGUAUUGAUCGAAGCAAAGGAAAAGAAGGAACAAAGGGGGAGAAGAGAAAUUAUCGAGGAGAAGAAGGAAAUAAAAGAAAAAGGGGGAAAAGAAGUGAGAAUUUCGAGGAAAUGAUGAGAAAAUGGACUCAAUGUGGAUGUACGAAUGUUUUGAUAGUAUUUCUACAGUAUUGACUUGAUAAUCUGUUUUGCAGGAAAUUCAAGACUGUCACAUCUCUUAGUUGGCGUCUAAGUUAGAGUUUUGCUUUUAGGAUUUUUGAUGUACUUUUGAGUUCAAAUUUGUAUUUGGGCUACAUGCGAGGUUCGAUGGUUGGUGAUGACAUUGAACCUUCGUUUUCUUAAGAUGUAAUUUUUUGAGUUGUUGGGUUAUUGUCAGCAAAAUAUGCCAGGGGGAAUUGUUAAUUUGUGUUUGAAAGUAUUCGUGAGAUGAGUGCGGAGUUGCUUAUUGAUUGGUGGUAUCGUCGAAGAUGCGAAGAAUCCAAGACUUCGAAAAGCGAAAUUAAAUCAUCCUGUUUGUGAAUCACGAUGCCCAGGUAAGGUUUAAUUCAUGUUAUGGUUAUUUCAAACUUAGUUGUAGGCAUAUAGAUUAUAAUACGGAAAGUUCUAACUUGAUUAGAAAGUGGUUGGAUGUUGGCAAAUCCGCGACUGUGCAGAAAUUGGGUUUUUGGAUAGUGUACGGUACAACAUGGAAGUGUACGGUACACAUUCUGUUCCGGACAGCAAAGCGACUUGUACCGUAAUAUGCUUGUGCGGUUGUUUUCUCCGUCAUCAUGUACCGAAUAAAGUUUAAGGUACCUGUACACAGAUGUAAUUUUCAAAGAAACUUUCUAAUACGAAUCCAAUUGAUUCUAAAGUUUAAAAUAAGCUAUUGGGUUCUCUAACAUAUUAGCAUGCAGGAAAAUAUGUUUGAGAAACCCUAGAGGCUCUGGAUUUCAUCUAAAAUCAUUUAUAACAUAUUAGGCCUGCUUUUAGGUAAAAUCGAGAUAGUUGAAUUAUCAUAUCUAUAUGUCGAUUUGAUCUUCGCUUCGCUUGGAGUUUCCUUCCCUGGUUUUCAUCGAUACUCUAAGCGAAGGAUCACCAUACACAUGAUGUUCUUCAUGACGGCGUCGUGGAUUCGGCGUGAUUGACGGCGGUUCGUGGAUUCGGAUCGUGAGCUUCGUGGAUUCGGAGUGGAGGCAUUUCGUGGAUUCGGAACGAGGCGUUCGUGGAUUCGAACGUGUGGGCGUGGACACCCCGGAGGAUUGCGCGAGAUUCAUAGGAGGUUAAGAGAGGUCGAGUCCGUGGAGUUGGUAAUCACCUUGUAAUCUUUUAUCUUAGUGAAUUAUUUUUUCGCGUGUUGGUCCCGUGGGUUUUUCUCUAAGUUGGAGUUUUUUCACGUAAAUCUCGAUGUGAUUUUUAUUUUCCGCAUUUAUUUUUUAUAACAUUGAGAUUUGUGGUUUUUGACUAUUACACCUAUUCACCCCCCUCUAGAUGUUAGAUACAAUCUAGAUAGAGUCUUGGGCACCUCAAAACUUUCACGGGUAUCUAGCUUCGGCGGCGAACUCGUUGCACACGCCUAAGCUGAUACCAAAAUCCCUUAGAUGUGCACAUCAUUUCCAUUCCAAGUCUCAAGGGUUCAUCGUUUACCCUAUAUUGCAACUUUUCUAGGUUCAUAAUUACAUGUACAAGUGGUCACUUUAUCACUAUAUUUCAUAACCUAGAUUCAACAACGCUAGGUCCUAUGUUUUUUCCACCCAAGUUCACUCAACUCUAGGUUUGAUGACAUUCCAAUGCAAGUGGUCUUCCUACCACUAUGUUAUCCAACCUAUAUUCAAUGACACUAGGUUCAAUGUCCAAUCAUAUUCUUUUUCUAUCCUAGUUGUCCACACCUAGGAUUCGUGAUUCCAUGACAUCUAGUCCUUGAUUUCACACUUGUCGAAUACUCUAAUUUUUCUAGAGUUAAUCGACCCAUGUUCAUUAUCCACAUCUAGGCAUACAUAUAUAUGUAUCCUAUAUGUUCUCACAUGCCUAUGUCAUCAUCCAAUGGUAGGUAACAUCAUCUACCAACAUAUGAUUUAUGCAUUUAUAUUUACAACAUAUAAACUACCAUUAUAUACAAUCAUCAACAAUAAUACCAUACUUAACUAUUUAGCAUGAAAGUGACCUAAUCAAUUCAGUGAAGCACAAUCUACCUCACAACGCUUCUUAUUGCUUGUAGACACUUGCAAUCAGACUCCCGCGACCAACAUCACCUGAUUCGGUUUGACCCAAGCCUAACGGAUGAAAUCUGGCGAUAUCUUCCAAUUGGACGCCGUAACCUCGCUGUAAUCCAAAUCAAGGUUGUCCCCUGCAUCGACUUACCCUUCAAUUAGAGAUUUAUGAGAUCAAUUUAGCUCCAAAUCUCAUAGGGACAAAAACCCUAAAUCCAAACCCUAGAUUCCAAUUCCUUCAAAAAAUAUCCCAAAUUCAUGGAGAGAUCUUGAUUAAACAAGUAUAGAAUCAUCUAGGAAACUCUAGAAUCUCAUUUCAAGGGAUUUAACAAAAACUCUAAUCUAUUAACCGAAAAACGAACCUUGAGUUGAAAGCGCUCCGAGCCACCAAGCGCCCGAGAGCUCGAUUCACAGCUCCUUCGAGCUUCCCGAGCUCGAUCUCCACCAAGAUCUCCAAGCAGAAGAAGAAGAAGAAAAGAGUGAGAGAGAUGAGCUCCUAUAUCCCUCUUAGCGUGCAUGUGUGUGUUCUAUAGAGAAAGGGGAGAUAGCCCCCUCUUAACUAGGCCUUCGCAUGAAAUUACCAAAACACCCCUCAAAAUCAGCAUUCUGUAGGGCUAAGUACCGAUACUCCGUUUCGCAUACCGAUACUCGGGCAUCCAGUUCUUGUAUCCAGUUUCUAAUAUCUCAAAACCCGAACGUUGGAUUCUCCCACUCCUUAGCAGCUUCACGAUUCUCGUGAUAGCUCAAGUGGCUCAUAACGAAGGAUGUGGGUCAGAUCACAAACAUGCUUGCGGUUCGUGAUACAUUAAGUGCAUUCUGAGUUCCUGCAUGUCUCGGUAGCAGUGCGAGUCGAUAUUCAACGACUCUACACGCUCCAACACCCCUCACAGCCUGGCAUAUGAAGGACUUAUCUUGUUUUGUACGCCAACUCAUUUCACCCAUCCUCCGGGUGGCACUUCUAAGGAAUUGCAGUCGUUUACUAUGUACAUUCCUGUCCAACAGACGAUUGCCCGCAUACUUUGCUUAUCGGGCUCGUGUCGUCACCAACCAUCACCAGUAGAGGACAAACUUUACUAAUGCCACUAGACACUACUUUCCUUCGAGAUCAGGACUACCCUUUAUCCCCGUGGUGUGGAUCAGACAAGAAUGCACCGACUAGUCGAUAAUCCACAACCACUACAUAUUACAUACGGGUAGACCUCCCCGAUUCACACAAGAGUGCACAGAGUGGCGCUCUACCAUCUUGGCCAUUCAAGAGUCUACAUCACCUUGUAUGACUCUUCUUUACACACUAUCCUAUGGUGGAACUUACUCUAAUCUAAUUACCGGCAUUGCUUAGAAGCAAUUUCAUCGGUGCAUCGCUCGAUCAUGAGUGCCAUCACCAUUCAUGGACUUUCAGCUCUACAGCGAGAUGGCACACUUCGGCACAUCAUCAAUUUCCAGUUCACCUAUACAUGACCAAUGCUCUCACACUACCAGAGCCAUCAGCUAAACCGCUUAUCUAGGUUUAUCAUAGAUGGUCCAGACACCAGAAUUCCCACGUAGGCCUACCGCCUAAACCUGUCUCAACAUCGCGCAACGUCUCUCGUUCACAAGUAUAGACCCAAUCAUCACUCAGUGGAGUCCUCACUUGGGACUUCACACACACACUCCAACCAGGAGCAACUAAGACCCCAAACCACUACAAGUGUCACUCCCUGAGGCCGCCAAUUUGGUCGGUUCGAGCACGCCGACAGACGCCGAGCGGACAAUACCUCCCCUGUCCGCCCAAGGCUCUAAUCAACAAGUAUAAUACAAGCAAUUCAACAAAAUGAAUGCAAUUAUACAAGGCUUGCUCGAGGGCAAGCAACAACUAAAUCAUGAUUGAAAGCAUCUAAGCUAUUACACUAACCAUUGAACACAUGUCAUUUGAUUGCAUUUGAAUCAAACACAAGUAAACCAUUCACUUACAUUCAUCCUUAUCCAUUCAUUUACAUCACAUUGUCCUUUAACCCAAAAUACAUAAUUUACAUCUUUCACAUUUCUAGUUCAACAUACAAAAGUUGAAUAUACAUAGGGAAUGCCUAUGACUCCGUAGGCCGUUAUCUACGACGCUAAUCCCUUGCCUCGAUCCUCCACCACCCCGCUCGCGUAUGGAUCUGCAGGGUUAGUGGUGGUGUGAGAACUAAAAGAAGUUCCCAGUGGGUUCGGCCGCCGACCGCGCCGACUCGCCCACUAGAUCUAUUUAGGUAUAUGUAAUUCAAGAAAUGAUAGAUUGCAAACCAACUAAUGCAAAACUAUUACAAUGCCUGCAAGAAAACUGUCAACAGAUAGAUAAUCAAAUACGUGAUAACUAUGCAUGCAUGUUCUCACAAUUAUCCGGGGGUGCUCUUGGUUUACCCCCAAACUCACAAUCCACAUAUCCCGUCUACCGGGGGAGGCACUUGGCACUACCACCCAAGGGAUCUUCACCGGGGCACUCUCCCCGUGGUGUCUACACUCCGGAGUAUACCGCUUGAGGAGGAGCUACUUCUCUCAAGCCGGAACCAAUGUGUGAGUACGAUCCAAUCCUCAAUUUGAGGACAUAUAGCCAAACCUGUCUCAAUGCACAAAGCCUUAAUGCCGAUGAUAGGUUAUUACCAUACCACAUUAACAUAUAGCCAAACCUGUCUCAAUGCACAAAGCCUCAAUGCCGAUGUUAGGUUAUUACCAUAUCACAUUUCCACUAUACCUGAAUCACAAUGGUCAUGAUGCCACUCUAGGUUAAACCUUGUUUAUCCGUUCUUACACUCGGUGCUAAUCUCGUCACUAAUGUCAAUGUCACCAUUGUUUACUAUUGUCAUAGUCUCUUUUUCAUACAUUCACAUACACAUUGGGUUUUUCACAUUCAUAGUCACAUGGUUCUAUACCAAUUAAUAUGUUCUCUAGCAUAAAAUUGAAUCUCAACCAAUCAUAUUCAUCACACUACCCUAUAUGCAUGAAUGCCAACAUCAAUAUGCUCAAUAAUGGUAACACAGACAUAGAAGAAAAUUCGGUGUUUCCGGAUAGCACCCCCCACCUUGUAGGAAUGCUAGGAUGCCCUAUUUCUGAUCUCGCGAUUUUUAGACGCUUACGCCACGAGUUGCGGCAAUCUGUACCAAUUUAGCUUCUUUCCUCAAUAUCUUCGCGUACGCUCGUCGGAUUGCCGAACCGAGCACACAAACGCGUUCGUUGAUCUACCAAUUAGGGUAAAAAGAGAUCAAUCCCAAGAUUAGACCUCAAAAUCUCAAAACCCUGACAUUAGGUCCCUUAACAAUAUCAUCUUUCCCAUUUUAGGUUCCUAGCAUGAAGAACCAUGGGGGAAAUCCUCUAUUCAUCUCCUAGAAGCAUGUUAGAAGGAAACAAACCAAAACCCUAGCUUGGAACCAUGAGAACUCAGCUUUGGUUCAAGCUUUUCCUUGUUCUCUUGCACAAUAGCAAGCAACACCUUCCACUUUGCCUUCUUCUUCUCCGAAACUCCUCCGAAUCCCUCCUUGUCCAAGCUCUAGAGAGAGAGGAAGAGAGAGGAGAAAAGAUUUUUAGAGAGAGAGAGAGAUGUUCUUGUGUUGGGUUGAGAGGAAAUGAGCCCUAACCCAAGCCAUUUCACACUUAACCAUUCACUAUGCCACUUUGCACAUAAGCCCCUCUUAUUUUAUUUUUUCCAAUCAGCCCUCACUGGGCAUAUUUCGCAUACGGGGAUCGGUCUCUCCCCGCAGGGACCGGUCCCCGAGAGCGCAACUCUCAAGACUUAGCCGAUUUUUCAUAUUUCUGGCUGGCUACACGUACGGGGACCGGUCCUCCCCUGAGGGACCGGACCCCGAGAGCCCAAAAACUAGGACUUAGCCAGUUUUUCACUGGUUUUGCUCUCUUGGUCCCUAUACCCUAUAUCAAGGUUCUAAAACACUUAGAAUCCAUUGCAACUCAUCCGACUCCGCGCUCCGCUCGUUUCGACGGAACUCGGCACAAUUUACGGGGAUGCGAUAUGUUACAUUCCCCACCCCUUAAAAAUAGUUUCGUCCGCGAAACUUAACACGUACCUUAGUCCACUUGCUCAAACACGCAUCUUCUCCCACGUGGAUUCAUGCCUUGAGUUACAUCCAAAAAGGAGUGUGAAAACUAUCACCACAUGUAGGAAAGAGCUACCACCCCGGUCGUUCGGCAAGUGUGUGAAGCUACCACAUGAAGAUUGAUUUGAAUAACCGAAAAGGUUGAACAAAAUGAAUAUUUUAAAAUUUUCGGAGUAAUAAGGUGUUAGUUUGUGAAAGAUGCUCAAAGAGCCACCCCCGGUAUCAUAAUAGUUAAAUCUCUAUUUUGAACGGAUUGCGACAAAUUGGUGUCAAUUUUGCCAAAUUUCUAAAAAUCAUUUUUCGUGAACCGUUACAUCUUGAUGAUUUUGAAACACGAGGUCAUUUUUGAUAACAAAAUUUUUGAUGUUUCGAUGUAUUUUGAAAUCUUAUAAUAUUUUACCUCCAUUAUAAUGAUUUUUGGAGUAAAGUCCUUAAUUCGUAUGAAAUUAAUUUAAGUUUAAAAAGUUUUUAAAAUUCAAAAUUUUCGAAAUCCGGCAAAGUGUAUUGGUAUCCACAGUUUUAAAACCGGCUACAGGUUUUCGAUCUUUCUCCAAACUUUAUCAAAACUUCUCGUUUCUCUUUCUUAAAACCUGUUACAGGGCACGUUUGUUCUCGACAAUAAAUAUGGAAAAUGAGAAGGAAAAGAAAAUAAAAGGGUUAAUGGCUUCUGGAAGGAGCUGCAACAAUCUGAAGAGGCUAUAAUUCUUCAAAGUGCUCAUUUCUGGUUCUUUCGAAAGUCUAUGUGAAUUUAUCCUAUUCAUGCACUAACAUUAUUGGUACUCUCUCUAUUUUUGGUACUUGCUUUUGGCAAUUUUUGACAAAAAGGGGGAGAGAAAGAAGAGAUUUUAAAUUUUUUCAUGUGAAUUUUUAUUGAUCAUAUUAGAUGCAUGAACAGAGGGGGAGAGAUUUUCAUUGAGAGAUAUUCAAUUUUUUUUACUAACUUUGUUCGAGGAGAAAAUAUUCUUUGUAUUCUUUCUGCAGAUUCUCGAAGACUUCAAGACUCCUUGUGUUUAAGUCAUAGAGUUUGUUUAGGAGUUGCGAAAUUAUAAUUUUGUAUUUUCUUUGGAUUUUUCACGCGAGAAGUUCAUUGUUUUGGUGAUGGCAAUGAAUUUCAUUUUUGUUUGGAAAGUUGAGCGUUGUGAGUAUUUUGAUGUAUUUUUUAGUUUUGUCACGAAAUUGCCAAAGGGGGAGAUUAUUACGGAUUUUAUGUUGGCAUAUUUCGUGAAGUUAGUCGGAGUCUUGAAUGUUUGAAGAAGAAGGAUGAAGAUCGAAGACUCGAAGACUCAAAACAUGAAUGCACAAUGCUCAGUAAGUUUAAAUACCAUUGAUGAUGAUUUAUAAAUAUUUUGUGGUGAGAUUUUAUUGUUAAAAUAUGUUUGGAAGACUUAGAUUGUGUUUUUGUUGAUCAAACUAGACUUUUCUAAAAAUCUCAGGGCUCAGGGACCGGUCCUUGAUCAGAAGGACCGGACCCAUCAAGUUUCUCUGCAUAGAAGUUUUGGGAGACCGGUCUCUGGUCUUGAGGACCGGUUCCCGUAAGUGGUUUAUCUUGUUGCGCAGGGAGGGACCGGUCUCUGAAUUGAGAAUCGGUCCCCGUACGCAAGUUUCUCAGCUACGCAGCGAAGGACCGGUCUCCAACUUCGAGGACCGGUCCCCCAAGGACCGGUCUCCUCGAGAGGACCGGUUCCUGAGGACGACAUAAGUUUUUAAAAUUGGAUUUUUGCAAUCCUAGUUGGUUUCUAAGUCUUCUAAACCUAUAAAUAAGAUGUAGGGGUGUUUCUAAGAAAUGAUGAAGGAUACAAUAUCUUUUUGAAACCCUAGAAACUUGUUGGGUGCAUUCUUUCUUCUCUCAAACAACAAGUUUCUAUCAGAUUAAUUCGUGUAACUCAAAAUUUCUCGUUCUUCAUGGGGAAUUGAUCCGGCUAUUGCUUAGAAACAUCUUCUACGGUUCUUUAAUGAUUGUCUAAGCAAUAAAUCAUCAUCAAUCUUGAUAUUCUUGCUCCGGACGGAGUGUGCUCGUGGAUUCGAGUGGGAGUCGUGGAUUCGGCGUGAUCAAGGCUUCGUGGAUUCGAAGUGUGGACGUUUCGUGGAUUCGGGACGUGGCGUUCGUGGAUUCGGACGUGGGGUGUGGACAACCCGUUGGUGUGCGUGAGAUCCGGAGAAGAUAAAAGAGAGGUUUGAGUCCGUGGAAUCGGUAAAUCACCUUGUAAUCUUUUAUUCUUAGUGGAUUGUUAUCGCGUGUUGGUCUCGUGAUUUUUUACUCCUAGUUGGAGUUUUCCACGUAAAUCUCGGUGUGAUUUUUAUUUUCCGCAUUUAUUUUUAUCACAUUGAGAUUUGUAGUUUUUGGCUAUUACACCUAUUCACCCCCCUCGAGGUGUUAGAUACAAUCUAGAUAGAUUCUUGGGCACCCCAAAACUUUCAGGAUCGAUCUUACUUGCUAUGAGUUCCGUGCUCGAGGGCGGUCACUCCUCCUCGGGCGAUGCUCUCCGGAGUUUUACAUCACGGGUUGGAGUAAACCCGAGGACGGUCUUAGCGGAAGGCAGCUGAGGGCCUGCGAUGAUGGACUUAAUGUGGGCAAGUUAAUGUGGCGAAACCCCAGGUUAGCCGUGAGAUUAAAGAACAAAGAAUAAAGAGUAAAAGAAUAAAGAACUUGCAUACUUGCAUGAUUUAUAUGAGCAUAUUCUUGCUAUUUGUUCAGGCAUAUUAACAUCAUGAUUAUAGUUUGGUUACUAUUCUGCUUAUCCCUUCUAUUAUGCCUGAGUUAGUCCUAGUGGAAAAGUCGGUUAGAUUGGGGCCGAACCCACUGGGAACUUCAUUGUAGUUCUUACCCCACUAUUCCACAGAGCCGGGAGCGAGCGAGCCGGCGAGCGACCACGGUAAAGUUAUCGCAUAGUAAAUAGAGGCCACCAAAAUUGAGUUUGGUUUAUAUUUUGCUAAUAGAGUACCCUAUGUUCAUCUUUUGUAUUUGAUGAUUAAUGAUGUAAAGAAAAGAAUGUAAAGCUCUCUUUCGAAGUAAAUGUGAUGUACGAAAGAAAUGAUGCAANCCACGGUAAAGUUAUCGCAUAGUAAAUAGAGGCCACCAAAAUUGAGUUUGGUUUAUAUUUUGCUAAUAGAGUACCCUAUGUUCAUCUUUUGUAUUUGAUGAUUAAUGAUGUAAAGAAAAGAAUGUAAAGCUCUCUUUCGAAGUAAAUGUGAUGUACGAAAGAAAUGAUGCAAUGUUGUAAUGAAAUGUAAGGAAUCGAAAAUGUACAAGUUGGAUGUAAUGUAUAUGAUCUAAAUUGAAUCAUAGUACAAAUUGAAUGUUAGUUUCCUUUCUCCACUCAUGGCUAUUGCUUACCCUCGUGUAAGCCGUUUGUGUAUGUUUCUGCUAGUGCACUUCUUGUUUGAAAAUGUACAGGUGAUGAGCCUUGGGCGGAUAGGAAAAACUCUGUCCGUUCGGCGUCUGUUUGAUGUGCUCGGGCUGGCCCAAAUUGGUAUCGGUCCCGGGGCGUGACAGAUAUCGUGGUAUCAGAGCCAAGAGUGAAAGAAUAGGAAUGGACCUAGAGACCCUUAGGAUUGGAAGACCUUAAGGAUCUAGGAAACGUGAGUGACGUGGAAUCAAAGUUAGCGAAAGCAUGUGAUUGGGUUAAGUUGGGACGCCUCUAAUGUGAUUAGAGGCUAAGUUUAAUUUUCGUUUGUUUCCUACUCCUUGUUUUGUGUCGGGCGGCCGACGACAUAAUGCUUGGGGCAAGAAUAAAUGCAUAACUUGCUUUCGCCGGAUUGGGUAUGGUCAAGUAAUGUUGGUCAUGUAGCUAAUGCGAGUUGCUUCUUUUCAGGAAGCAAUGGCACCUCGUGGACGACCACAGAUAAGGUCGAUGCCGGAGGAGCCGAAUGCGGAGCCCGAGCGAUCCGGAGCGAGUGGCGACGGAGAGCUUAGGGAUCAAGUGGCUGCGCUUAUUGGAGUAUCACGGUAGCAAACGGAGUCCGUUCAACGCCAAGGGGAGCAGAUUCAGCGGCUCCAGGAGGCUUUGGAGCGUCAGCAGGCAGCGGCGGCCCAGGUGGGUGUCGAGCAUGUCGCGCUCUUUGUGGUAGUGUCGAGCGUGGACGAGGGAGCGGCGACAGCAGUGGCUAUCCCAGUUACGGUAGUACCAGCUGGAUCGGGAACCUCAAAUCCCGAUAGCGCGGCGGUAGAGGCGGAGCGAGAGCGCACGUUGGCGGCUCUCAUUCAGUUCAAGAAGUUCAACCCACCUACCUUUGAGGGCGGUUUGGUGGAUCCGGCGGUUGUGGAGUCGUGGAUCGACUCAAUGGAGACGUUCUUUGAGGAUCUCAAUACCUCGGAGAAGGACAAAGUGUACCUCGCCACCCAUUGUCUAGAGAAGGCGGCGAUGGCGUGGUGGAAGCGAGUUAAGUGGAAUAGUAGGGUGAGAAGUACAACAAAGUUCCCAGUGUGUUCGGCCCCAAUAUCACUGACUUUCCCACUAGGACUAACUCAGGCAUAAUAGAAAGGAUAAGCUGAAUAUAGUAACCAAUCUAUAACAGGAUGCUAAUAUGCCUGAACAAUAAAGCAAGAAGUAUGCUCAACAUAAAACUCAUGCAGAUUAUGCAAGUUCUUUGUUCUUUACUCUUUAUUCUUUAAGCUUUGUUCUUUGUUCUUUGUUCUUUAAUCUCACGGCUAACUUGGGAGUUUCGCCACAUUAACUUGCUUCACAUUAAGUCCAUCAUCGCGGGCCCUCAGCUACCUCCCGCUAAGACCGUCCUCGGGUUUACUCCAACCCGUGAUGCAAAAACUCCGGAGCGCAUCGUCUGAAGGGAAGCGACCGCCCUCGAGCACGGAACUCAUAGCAAGUAUGAUCGAAUCCUUAACUCUAAGGAUUAUAAGUUCAAUCAUGUCAUUACACUAACUCUAGUGUUCUUUUCAUCACUUUAUGUUGCUACUCUAGCAAUCAUGGUUCUUUACAUUUCUUUACUUUAUCUAUCUCUAACAAUCAUGUUCUUCACUCUUCGCAUAUUCUUUAUGCCCCACAUUCCCUUUACUUUAGUCAUUGUCAUUGCUCUUUACAUUACAUUGAUUCAUUCGCUCACACUAAUUCUAGUGUCACUUUACUCUACAUUAUCGAAUGCCACUCGAUCUAUGUCUCAUUGUGUCACUCUGUUCUUUUGCCUCACUUUGGUGCACAUUCUAUCUCAUGCAUACAUAGGGUUAAACAUUCAUAGGAGUUCUCAAGCAUCUCAUUAGGCAAAUUGUACUCACAAUAUGCAACAUCACAUUACUCUCAUCGCAUUUACCCUACAAUGCAUGCAACAAUGUAUAUAACAUAUGCUCAAUUGAAUGACACAUUAGGCAUAGAAGGAAGUUCAACGAGUUUGGAUAGCACCACCCACCUCGUAGGUUCUCAAAGGUGCUCCGCUAGUUUUCUUGGGAUUUUUAGACUCCUCGUUCUUCACCUGCGGCAAAACGAAGCCAACUUAGGCCAUUUUGGCCAUAAUUUUUUUAUAGACAUUUCGUAACGUUAAUCCGAGCGCACCAACGCGUCGGAAACACCCCCAAUUAGGUUUCUAGAGGGUUAAUUUCACUUAGAAAUUCCCACGAGCAAAAGCCCCAAUUUGGGUGUCCUAGCUCCAUAGCAUAUAUCAAACCUAGGGUUUGAUCUCUUUGGGAAGCAAAAGAAGCUUCAAUCUACUCUAGAAAGUCCAGUAAAACCAUUCUUAGACAAAUCAAAACCCUAUUUAGGGUUCCACCAUGAGAGGAGGUUGAAGCUCUCUUUCAAACUUCACCAUCUCCACCAUUCCAUGGUUUUGAUCUCAAAAGGAAGCAAAAGAAAGCUUCAAAUACUCUAAAGGUUCUAUAAAAAUCAUUCUUAGCUUAAUCCAAACCCUAGUUUGGAUUCUACCAUAAUUAGGGUUCAAAGCUUACCUUGUAAGCUUUCCUUUUCCAAGCUAGGGAAGGAGAGGAGGGGUCUUCUUCUUCUCCUUGCCUUCUCCUUCACCUUCUUCCUCUUCUUUUCCUUCUUUUCCUUCUCUUCUUCUUCUCCUUCUUGUCUUCUAGAGAGAGAAAAAGAGAUGAGAGGGAGUGUGAGGGAGAGAAUGAGAGGAAAAAGCCCUCAUUGCCCUCAACUUAACUAUUGGGUUGCAUAAAUGCAAAUAAGCCCCUCAGCUUUUAUCUUAUUAAACUGCUCAAACUGGGCAGAUUUCGGGCUCGGGGACUGGUCUCCCCGACUUGGGACCGGUCCCAGAGAGCUCUCCCCGCGGGCAGCAGGGUGCACGCGCGACGCAAGCGGUCUCUCACUGGGGGACCGGUCUCUCCCCGCAGGGACCGGUUCCCGAGAGCUGGUUUUCUGGGACUUAGCCGAUUUUCGGCCUUUCUCAUUUCUCACGCGUUCGGGGACCGGUUUCUCCCAAUAUGGACCGGUCCCAGAGAGCUCAAAAUCUGCAGUUUGCAGAUUUUUGAUUCUUUAGCUCUCGAAAACCUCCCAUAACACACUUUUGAUUACUUUAACACCUUCAGACUUUUCGAAGUGUACCAUCAUCGCACUUUGGUCAAUUUGACUAAAGUUCGAUAUUUAUUUUCCGAAUUCUCGGUAUAUUACAUUCUCCACACCUUAAAAUAAUUUCGUCCUCGAAAUUACACAUACCUUAACUCGUUGACUCAAAUAGAUGCGGGUACUCUCUCCGCAUGGUCGCCUCGAGCUCCCAAGUAGCUUCUCGCACUGCAUGGUUGCUCCACUGAACCUUCACAUAUGGAAUUCUGCAACUCUACAGCUUUCUUUCUUCUCGAUCGAGGAUGCACACCGGGUACUCCUCAUAAGACAUAUCUUCACGUAACUCCACGGGUUCGUACUCCAAUACAUGUGUCGAGUUUCGAAUAUACUUUCGGAGAUUUGACACAUGAAACACGUUGUGAAUUCCCGCGAGUCUUGGUGGUAGUGCGAGCUUAUACGCUACAGCACCCACCUGCUCCAAUAUCUCAAAUGGUCCGACGUGUCGGGGGCUUAGCUUCCCACGGACCGCAAAACGUUUCACUCUGCGCAUCGGCGACACCCUUAAGAAUACGCGGUCUCCAACCGCAAACUCUAAAUCCUUUCUUCGCUUGUCGGCAUAACUCUUUUGCCGAGAUUGCGCCGUCGCUAAUCGUUGACGGGCAAGACGAACCUUUUCUUCCGCCUCCCAUACCACAUCCGGGCCAAGAGCUGUUCUCUCGCCCACGUCGCUCCAAUGGAUAGGAGAACGACACUUCCGACCAUAUAGUGCCUCAAAUGGCGCCAUCGCUAUGCUCUCUUGAUAACUGUUAUUAUAUGCGAACUCCGCCAUCGGUAAGAAAUCAUGCCAUCCUCCUUUGUAAUCUAGCACACACGCUCGAAGCAAGUCCUCGAGGAUCUGUAUUGUUCGCUCCGACUGUCCAUCACUCUGAGGAUGAAACGCUGUGCUAAAGUCGAGCCGUGUGCCUAGCGCGUCUUGCAAGCUCUUCCAAAAGUGGGAUGUGAACCUGGGGUCUCGAUCCGAUAUGAUUGAUACCAGAACCCCAUGAAGUCUCACAACCUCGUCAAGAUAGACUUGAGCUAGCUUGUCUCCCGACCACGUAAUAUGUAUCGGCAAGAAGUGUGCCGACAUUGUCAAUCGAUCCACUAUCACCCAUAUCGCAUCGUGUCCGCCUUGUGAUCGAGGCAAACCGGUAAUAAAGUCCAUGUCAUAUGAAUGCAUGACAAUGAUGUUAGAGGAAUGCAUGAAAAUGAUGUUGUAUGAUGCAUGAACCAUAUUAUACUAGAUGAGAAUAUAUGCUAGAAGGAUGCAUGAUUGCAUGUUGUAGUACGUGCUAGAUAAAAUGUGCAUGUGGAUAUCUAUAUACUAGAUGGUAUAAGAAUGUCGAUAUUGUGAAAUAUAUUAGAUCGAGUGGCAUGUGAAAUACGAGUGUAGCAUUAACACUAUGACAUGGUUUGGAACCCUAUAAUGAGAUGGUAAAUGCGAAUUGGACCCUAGGUGAAUGAAAAUCUAGUGAAUGUGCAAGUAGUGUAUCGAUAACAUCUAAUUGAUAACGAGUGGCAUCUAGUUAAUGUAAAUCUAUGACUAGUGGCAUAUGAGUACCCUAGUGUAGUUGAAACACUAGACCAAUGAGUAUAGUAGUACAUUGAUACCAUGAUGAUGCCAUCCCUAGUUGGUAGAGUAUCCCCGGUUCACAAGGAUUGGAUCGUGCUCACAUAGCCUGUCUGCGCUUGCUGUGGUCACUCCACACAAGCUGUGCACUCCGGAGUUUAAACACAUGAGGGGCAGUCGUCAUGUGCUGCCUGGACAGCCGCUAGCUAUCCGCAGGCGGUUUCGGGGGUAGUUGAGCAGUGAGACUCCUCCCCUAUGAGACUUAAAAAUGUGAGAUUGAGGGCGAACCUUCGGGUUAGCCAAGUGAUUGGGUAAUAAGCACAUGAGCUAUAGCAAUAUCCUCAUUGAGUGGAUUUAAGGCUGAGGUGGAAGUGAGACGUCCUUCGCCUCGAGCCUGGCUUUACGCGGUACUCCGCAGAUGAUUGACUCAAGACCGAGUCUGGUGGAUAGUUGAUAAAGGUAACUGAGACUAUAUGAUCAGAAUUGUAAUUUACAGGAAUUUAAAAUAUAGGAAUAACUUCGAAGUCAAUUGGAUGAGCUAUGAAUAGCAGGAUUGAAAGUAGUAUCGAUUGAACUAUUAGUUUGUUGCAUAAAUCGCAUGAUUUUCAUAUUACAGGAUUGUGAGGCAUGACAUAUAUUUCAAUAUUUGCAUAUAUAUAUAUAUAUAUCUGUUGGAUAUUUGUUGGGCUAACAUGUUGCAGUGCCUCCUUGGACCUGGUUGGUCGAGCUCUUCCCUUGAGUGGCCGUACCCACUGGAAACUAUAUUUAUAUAGUUCUCACCCCGUGUUGCUUUUGGGGGUACAGGUUCACAUGUAAGCGGCGCGGCGGCGCGAGGAGAGGGCGUAGCUCCGUAGAUAGCGCCCUACCACCGAGACCAGAGAUAGCGGUACCCCGAGUCAGCCUAGCUGGGGGUAUAGAAGAAAAGAAAAGAAUAAACUUGUGAGAAAACAAUGUUGUAACAAUCUUGAUUGUAUUUGGAAGAAAAGAAAAAUGAAAAUGUAAUAUAUAAUAAGCAUAUAAUGUGAACGGUUGUAAUAGUCUAGUUGUUUAUGUUUUUUGAUACUUCCUUAUGCAAUCUGUACGCUUGAUUUCAGUUCCUGAUUGGAACAUCGUGAAUUGUAUCGAUUGCGACGCCUAGGACGUACAGGAGAGACUCUGUCCGUUCGGCGGUCUGUCGGUGUGCCCGAACCCGACCAAAUAGACGGGGCUCGGGGCAUGACAGUCGGCGUGCCCGAACCGACCAAAUUGGCGGCUCCAGGGCGUGACAUCACAGGCGGAAUCACUGCCCUCAUCUUUGCACUUGAUCGCGGAAUCGCAGCACCUCUUAGCCAUAAAUUCACAACUUGCGGAAUUGCCACAUUCAUUAGGUGUCGAGCAAUAGAAUUGCCACCUUCUUUUCUUGCCCCAAUCUCAUAGUUAGCAGAAUCACCACUUCCACAGUCUUAUCGAGGGUCUAUAUUUUCCACCCUAUGUGUUAACCUUUCUAGGUUUAAAAUCAUUCAUGUCCAAGUGGUCAUCCUACCAUUAUGUUCUUCACCGAUGUUCAAUGACACUAGGUUCUCUAUGUUCACAUAUUGAGUUCUCUACCAUUCAUAGCGAAUGUCAACCUACAUUUUUAUCCACAUCGAAGGAAUACUAUAAAGCCAUGAUGCAUUUACAUAGGUGAAUGAGAAUAGCAUUUUAAUAUACAUUUAUAUCAUGUAUGCAGUUUAUUCAUAUCGCAUACUUAGGUAGUAAGAUUUCAUAUUUCAAGUAGCAGAUAUGCCUCUAACAUGCAAAUCUAACAUUUGUACUACUAUGCAAAAUCAUUUGUUUUUAUUAUUACUCUCAAGACAUGAGAGGUGACCAAGUCAUUUCGGUGCAACACAACCCACCUUAGCUCUUUAGCACACUCCUAAUUGCUUGUUGUCACUUGCAAUUAGGCCCUUCUCUUGAGCUACAAAGCUUACUCCAAGCUUCCUUGCCCUAAACACAAGAAAAAUAGUUUGUUUACCAUUUUUGAACCCUAAAACGAUUUCAUCUAUUGAAAUCAUGUUGUCCCACAAGAUUCCCAAUCCCUCAAUUAGAGUUUAAAGGGUUAAAUAAUUUUUAGACCCCUCAAAUUCAAAAAUCCUCUUUUAACCUAGGGUUUUUCAAAAUCUAUGGCAAAACCUAUUUUAAAUGGCUAAUCUCUACAAUUUGUAGUCUUGAAUAGCCUAGGGUUUAAUAGAAAUCCAUUUACAUGGUUUAAAUCCAAAACUCUAGACUCAAAUCCUGAAAUCUCACCUUUGCCACAAGUUUCUCAAGCCUCUUCUUUCUCCAAGAAGCUUUCUCCCACUUCCAAUCUCUCCUCCAAGCUUGAUCUUCCAAGCUCCAAGUGUUGGAGAGGCUUUAUUACGGAGAGAGGAAAAAAAGAAUGAGAGAGGGAAGAGAAGAGAAGUGUUUAUGUCCAAAUGGGAAGAAUGGCUGGGUUCCCCUUACAUAAAGGGGUUGCAAUAUUUGCAACUAACUACCCCACAUUGUACUAAUUACAAUGCCAAAACUAACAUUUCAUAGCACUACGUACUGGUACCCUAAUUGGUGUACCGGAACAUGGACAGUUAGUUCCGGUACCCACCAGCCAGUUCCUCAAAACUUGAACAUUGGAUUUUCAGAAUCUAUUGGGUUCCGAUACUCAACGUAUCAGUACCAAUACAAAGCGUAGCACCGGUACUCAACUUGAGUUCCUCAAAACCUGAAUGUUGGUUUUGCUCCCCUAUGUUGUGUUCCGGUAAUCAAAUUUUAGUAUUGGUACACAAUAUAAAAUCUACAAUUUUUGCAGAUUUGACUUUUCGAAGUUUGUUUUUGCUUUUGGUUUGCGCCGAAAACACUCAAAUAUUUUCCAAACCUUGUCGAAACUAUUCGAAUAGCCUUUUAGGCCAACAAUCUAUAGAAGUUCAGUGCACUACAGCAUGGCUCCUCGGCUAAUGACAAUGGUGGGUAGAGCGUGGCUCCCUAGAAGGUCGACUCACAUCACCUGGUACAUGUGAGUAUUCUUGAGCUUGACGAUGUUAGCACUUAUAGUGGGGGGGNNNNNNNNNCGGUGUAAUGUUGUUUAGGGGUGGGGGGGGGACAACCCAAGAUUUGGAAUAAUUCUAUAUAGAAAAUAUAGUAGUGCUAAACCUCUUAGUAAAAAAAUAUUUGGAUGGUAGCUAGACCCAAGAGUUUAAGAGGAUUGACUAGAGUAGUUCUAGGAUGGGUUCUCCCUCGGGAACCAAGGCAUCAUAGUUGGGUCAUUAUAUUUUGAGUAAGAGUAGUUGCCAACCCGUAGUAUGGGGUCAUUAAUAUUUUGCGUAGAGUACCAACUAGAAGUAUGAGACCUAAGUGUUGUAUGAGACAAAGUGGUAAACUUGGACAUCGUGAGAGUCACCACUUGAUAUCAUGCAUAGAGGCACUUUUUUGAAUCUCACAUUGAUUGGUCAUUCUAAAUUAUGUGUGUGAUUUGAUUUGACAAAGAUGACAUAGUCUAAAUAGGAGAGGUGAAAGGUGGCUGGGGGCAGGGGUGUGUUCUUGGGGUUUAACAAAUACUCGUGUUUUGGAAAGAAAUGAGAUUAUGUUUGAGUAUACGAAAAUUACCACUGUAAUUUUAGUAAUCCAGUUUAAGAAUUUCGGUCUAGUGGUUUGGUCCAAAAGUUGCUGAUACAAGUUAGCUAGGUUGUUACAUGAACUUUUUAGGAAGCAAGUUCCGUGAAUUUUCAACAUUAUUUAGGGAGUAUUAAAGUGAUCAUGAAAACAAUUUUAACACACCUGAGUACUAAAUAGUAUUAAUGAGUUCUUUUCCAAUUUGGCGGUAUUAAAUAAACCAAACUAUUGAGUUUUUUAUGGCAAGCGUUUCUUGCUAUCUAGAUUAACAUUUAUUAUGGUGACAAUGAGUUAAAAACCCUAUCCUUUACUUUUAUAAGGUUGUUUAUUUUGAGAGUUCAUUGUGAUGCUCGUUGAUAGAAAUAAAAUAACAAUAUAUCUGAAAGUUGGUUCUUGGAAUGUUCAAAUAUUCUUGAUUAUCCUUAAUAGUGGUGACCAACAAUUCAAUGCCAUACUGAUAACAAAUUUACAUCAAGAUGGCGUUCUCAUAUUAUUUAUAUCAUUCUAACAAAUACUAGGUAGGAGAGGGAGAGGAACAGAGGGGAAGAGAGAAAGAGAGAGAGAGAGAGAGAAGGAGCGAUGAAAUCAUGUAAACUCCUAACAUUCUUUAUUUAAAUAGUUUUGACAACAACUCUCUUCUCCAAUAACACGGUUCCAGGACUUAGGAAGACAGAUGAGCCCCAAGCAAUUUUUCUUCGUAUUAUUCUUUGUAGGCACAUAUCCUAAGAAAGUUUUAUCCAUGAGAGUGCCGUACCUCUUUUCGACGCUGCCAUCUUCACCAAAUUCAACAAUGCAGCCAAAUCUCUCAUUGCUACAGAAAUAGUUGUCAUGGCUUGGGGAAGAAAAGAUUUGUAAUCUAUUGGCCCAGCAUCCGUUGGAUCCACUGUAGUUGCAAUACACUUGUAAUGUCUGCAUAUCAUUCAGCUUAGGUAAGGUGAUGUUGGCUCUUGCCCCAUUCUUAACAAUGAUGUUGUCAUUCCAAAUUCCAUCACCGAGAUCAUGGUCUGUGCGUGCUGCCCAACAAUGGAGCUCAAUAUUACUCUCCCAAAUUUCCCGUAGGUUAUUCAAGAUAAAGAGGUGCUGAAAGUUGUCAAGUUCCAUCGUAAAGACAGCUUCAGUUAAGUUGACCUCGGAUGGAAGAUAUAACAUCAAGAUGACGAAGGCAAUGAAGACAGCAACCACGAUCACCGUUGUCUUGGCAGAAUACAUCUUUGGAUCACUUGGUUUGGAUUGGUGGGUGCAGCUGAAAGAAAAUUUUAUAUACACAAAAUUUGUUUAAUUGUCUUAUUCUAUUAGUGGUUGGUGGGGGUGGGAAGGGCGGGGGAGAGAGAGGGGGCGAGAGAGCAAGAGCGAGGAUGGGAGGGAGAGAUACAACGAAAGAGUCAGUGAGAGCUAAAUAAGGUUGGGUUGAGAAAGUUGUUAACAUUGUAAGGAAGACCUGUAUAUGUGUUGGAAACUAAAUGAGAUAAAGUAGAGGAGCUCUCCAGCCAUUCAUUCUUUUUUUCUUUUUUCUUUUUUCUUUUUUUUUUUCUUUUUGAGGUGAUUGCUUUUUUGACAGUUAGAAAACAGAAAUAAGAUUAUUGAUUUAGUUAGGGAUUCUAUUUUUCACAUUGUAGGCACAUCUUUGGUUGGGCAUCCUAUUAAAGAGGUGGUCAUUCCAAUAAAGAAUUAAAUUUCUAAUUUAAGGCCCAAUGUAACUAAGCCAAGUAUGUUUAGAGGUGAUUUUUCAUGCAAUCUCCAAAAUUGCAUAAAUAUCAUAACUACCGCUACAAAAUAAAAAUAAAGUAAACAUCAACUAAAUCUCCCAUAGAUUAGUCCAUUUGCAUUUUACUGCCCCAUGAUUUUGAAAAGUUGCUCUUUACAACUCUGUGGUCUAUUUUCAUUUCACCAAAAGAAUUAUCAACAAAUAGGGUGGCACAAUGCUACAUUUGAAAAGCACAAGAUAGCAAACUACAAUUCAUGCUAUACUAAAGUGCUAUAUGCUAUAUUUGAAAGUUUGCUUGCACUAUCAAUGGCUUAACCCAUACUAAUCAAUGUUUUGUUCCUUCUCUCUGCAAAUCAUUUUGCGGCAGAGUCCGAGAAUGUCACGCCUCGACGCGGAAGCCAACUAGGCGCACAUCUAGAUCCACCACAUAUAUACCAGCCUUGACCUCUAUGCCCACCCGGCAUAAGUACAAGCAACUGCAUUUGUCGUAAAUGAUAUGCUAUAACCCACGAUUAACAAUUUCAAAUGCUAAAAUAAAGUAUCUGUUUACAAAACAUGUUGAGAUUCGCAAUUACAAGAACUUUAUUCAUUAGGGCUUAGGUACAAUUUUUCUUUCACCCAAAAUGAACCAACAUGUAAACCCUUUGAAGCUAAUCUAGCUAGCACGCAAGCCUCACUCCCUAUGACACACCUGAAAAGCAACACUAAGAAUCAGAAGAGAAAUUAUAAAGUUUACCAUGGGUACAGUAAGCCGUCAUAGGCCAACUGUCCCCCAGCCAGCCAGCUGACAAAGAAGAUAAUAGUAACAAUAUAAGUGGGAAGGAGAUGGUAAUGAAUACUACACAAUACAAGGAGCAGUGUUUCCUCAACUACAACAAAGAAGGCAGUGUACAUAUAUACUAUACGCCAACCAAUUCUUGUAGCCAAGAAAUUAUCUCUAUCAUAUCCUAGCUAUCCAAAGGACUAGUUAACCAAAAGCAACGUCGUGGAUAGAGCCAGGACAAGCCACUUGGUUCCCACUUUUUUAAUGAAUAGAGUCGAGACUGGCUAUCCUGUUGCCAUCUUCAAGUCGAAAGAGGUAGGACUAGCUACCCAUUUGCCACCGAGUGGAAACAGCAUGAAUUGGCUACCCAGUUGCCACAUUUUUGUGGACAGAGAGCCAAGACUGGCUACCCAGUUGCCACCCUCUUAUCGACAAACCCAUACUGGUUACUUGGUUGCCAUGCUAUAGAUAGAGUUGGGACUGGCUUGAACUAUAGGAAAACAAUCACCCAGAUCUGUCUACAACCAAUAUCAUCUUUGCAAACUGUAGUUGCAUGUUCUAUAGUCAGGCGCAACAGCAGCAAUAGGUAAAACUCAAAGCUACAACUAGAGUGAUCAACAACUACCUAUUCAGGCUAACACAACAAGUACUACUACUAUAGCUCCAUCAUAAUCUCACGAGGGCAAUUAAUCCCAUUUAGCAUGUCUUUUAUGUGAAGUACUGAAGCGACAAUAAUGAGUACGGAAUGGGUAUCAUGACUAAACAUGCUAUCUUUCCACACGUGUGAUUUUUCUCCCACCUAGCAUGUUCAUCAUAACCUCACAUAGGCAAUUAAUCCCAUCUAACAAUGCCCUAUAUUCGAAGUACUGAAGCAACAACAAUGACUAUGAAAUGGAUGUCAUGACUAAACACGCUAUCUUUCCACACAUGUGAUUGUUGUCCCACAACCCACUCCAGCGCCCUAACCCUUCGGUCUCGGGUAAGGUCCCAACUUUUCAAUCUCGGGCCAAUGGUCAAUCACUACUACCAUUCCUUCUCUGUGACCAACUGCAAUGGUAGCAGUAAAAACCAAAUACCAUGUCCCCAACAACGAUAACGACCACUCUAGCCAGCACUACUGCUAUUGUGUUAUUCUAAAUGGGAGAUGUUGGCAUUCGGUUAAAUCGAAUCAGGUACGCCCAUAAGCGGGUUCGAUCCGACGGAUAUUAUGUUAUCUAAUUGGAUUAGGAUUAAUCUCGCUUUCAAAUUGGAAAGCUAAUUAGAGAUAAAUCUAAUCAUAUUAGGAUAACAAAUAAUAACCGAUUUGGUCUUAUCUCUAACGCUAUUAGGAUUUUGGAAUUCCUUAUAAAUAGACGGGCGAUCCCACAUGAAACGAUGCACAAAAAAGAACGGAAAAAGAGAGAGAAUAAGAAAAUAAUAGAGAGAAACCACUUCCUCCAUUAACCUAUUAUUCUAGAGGGACUUGCACGGUGGAUUUGCGAUCGCGCUCGUUUGUAGUUCGAUCCACCGCGAGUUCGUGGAGCGUGAGAAGACAUUCAAGGACGAUCCGAGGACACGUGAAUCAAUCUAAACGAUCCGGGCUCAUCGCGUUGUUGCGCGAAUCGCUUCCACAAAAGGUACGAACCAAUACUUCCGCUGCGUUCUACAGACAUCAUGAAUGUGUUCGAGUUUAUCUAACAUGCUUCCUAAGUAAAAGCUACAACAUGUGUAUGCAACUAAGCUUGCUGUUAGAUGUGACUCGAAAUUGAUAAUCGACUUCAGUUCGGGACUUCGACUCGCCGACAGUUUCGCAACUUUUGAAAAUAAAAUUGUUAAGGAAAAAUGAAUGUCUGUGGUGGGUAGCGGACCCCCCGUGGUACGGAUCAGAUUGGAUCCGAAAUCCAUUAAGAGUUUCCUUUCUCGUUUUUUGCCCUAGAGGCGAUAGAUUGUGGUUGAUUGUACAAAAGAACAUUGUAUUCCCUUUUGGAUAGUGAAGUUUUCUCCUCCCUCGCCCGUGGUUUUCCCUUCAAAGGGUUUUCCACGUAAAUUUGUGUGUUCUUCUAUUUUUAUUUGUGGUUUGUUUAUUUUGUAUUCGCCAUUUUCGUUUCCGGUUGUGCGCUUGUCGUAACACAUGCUGUCACAAUAACCUAUCAUGGGUAGAUAAACAAGUAUUCUAAGUAGUAGAUAUGUGAGACUAGCAAGAAUGCAAUGAAUCAUUUGCUAUGUCCUCUUCAAUAGAAAAAGGGUGAGAGGGAAGAAUAGGUCAUGAGGGCUGCACUAGACCCACAUCAAAUUGAGCACCCACCUGAAAUCCUAACUCGGCGACUGCGGCGUGUUCACAGCUCCUUGAAUCUUGCUUGGGGCUAGAAGGAGCACAUACGGGUCAAACAAGUCACUAGAAUCCAAUUCCUAGCCAAACUGACUCAUAGAAAUUGAUCUUUAAGUCUCAAGGGCGUCAAGUUUUAGAAUCUAAUGUUGAUGAUCUAGAAUCACUCAAUGGUUCUCGAACCCAUCAUAAGGUUUCGCAACACCAGAACAACCUUACAUUGUUUCACUAAGUUGGUUUUGAAUCAUAGGUUCAAGAUUCCAGAACCAAGCCUCCUAGGCUGCAUUCCCAGCUGCAACAACAUUAUGUAUUUCACGAGGUUGCAAUAGCCAUUCAUCUAGAAUACUUUUUCAACUUCUCAAGGUGGUGGAAGAGCAAAAACCAACUCAUAGGGAACUUGAAAAAAAACUCCUAGAUCUAUUUCUAGUGAGAUUGAGCCGAAAAUAGAAGUUUUCCCCCAAAUCACUCGAGAUGAUUUACGACUAAGAAAGCUCCAAGAAGGCAAAGACUGCCUCAUACAUUCCUACAUGCUUGGCCCUUUGGAAGCCCAAGCAAAAAUGGCCUUGAAGGCUUUCAAUAUGUGUUUUGAUAUCGAGCUGAAAACAUCAUCUAAACUCCCUAGAGGUUGGGUAUCAAAAUGAAAACCCUUAAAUACUAAACUACGGAUCAAGCGUCAACUCACCUUUAUUUUGGAGCUUCUCCCAACAAUAAGCUAAAAGUGGGCGAGAUCUUCACAUCGAAACCCCCACCAUGAUCUCCCAUCUUAGAGGCUUGAGAAAGAGGAAAAAGAUGGAGCUCCUAUUCACACUUCUAGUGUCACGACUCAAGUUUUAGCUCUCCUGGGCUCGCCAACAGAUUCGCCGUAUACAUAGAAAUUUUUUAUGUAUACAAAGCGAUAGCUGAACCUGCAAAAGUUUAAGUACAACUAUAAGAGAGCAACAGAGCUGCUAAAAUUGAAAAUAUAUACAUAAAGCCAACUAUACAUACAUGUAUCCAAAAUACACCACUGAAUACAAUAACAUAAGAAAUACAUCCUCAUCUCUCCUCAUAUAUAUAUAUAUAUAUAUAUAUAUAUAUAUAUAUAUAUAUAUAUAUAUAACUGUAUGUACAUAGCUACAAAAAGUAAAUAUCUCCAAAAAGGGGUACUCCUCUAGCACAACGACCAGAGUAGACAGGGAUCUAACUCGUGACUCCCUUACCUCGAUCAGAAGCAGCAGCAGCAACCGAUGGCUCUGCAAGAAUAAGUGGUAACAACGGGUGUAAGAACUACUGUAAAACAAAAUAGUACUCAGUGGGUACCGUCUCCGACCCUAACAGCCUAUCCACUAAGUCUACGAGACAAACAGUAUAGCUGGUAGUUAAGAAAAACAAGAGAAUAAGCUGGAAGAAAUUCUACAGCUACAAGGUCACUACCUACCACUAUUCAUGUCAUGCUCUCUAUGUACCUACACACCGCUAUUUGAGAAACAGUCAACACUGACCCAAUCCAAGGGACUGUCAAUUGGCCCGUCCAACCUAUGCCCUAAGCUACACCAUACACUACCCGCAGGGGUGCCCGGUCCAAGUACGGUGCCCAAUCGAGAUCACUGCGAUGCACAAAAGCCAAACUCCGGAGAGACACUCGUGGGCUCGACCUAACUAAGUAAAUUGCGAACCUGUCAAGCUCAAUAAAGUAACCACAAGCUAUAAUCGAUGCAAAUAGGUCAAACAAGUCUAAGAAUCAAGGCUCACAUGCCCUAGGCACAAUUUGAUGCGUAAAGUAGAGAUCCGGGUCCAUCGUCAAUUCGGACAACACCCAUCGACACAAAACAAUAUCAACUCUGCCGUAAAAGUGGGCUCGGCAUCUCAGCACGAGCGUAAUCUCAACAUACACUAGUCGAAGUAUCCACAACGCACUAACAACGAUGAUAACAAGGUGAAACCAGCUCCUGAAUUUUAAUCUGUUAACUUUUUAGAAAAGUUAAGUGUGUAGGUUUGGAAAGUUUUCUCCUAAGUCAAGUUCCAAUUCAGCAUAUAAAAAUUCAUCUAAAAUCAUUAGAGUAAGCUCUAAAUUUCGAUCUCAUAUGAAGGCAUGCAAAUCUAUAAAUUCGAUCUACUAAACAUGAUGAUCAAUACAAAAGAAUGCAUGCUAAUAUCUCUAGAACAUAGGAGGAAUUCCUUAAGAGAAAUUUCAAAGAUUUCGGUAGACAUUAACCCACUUCGAUUGCUAAUCCAACCAUGGCAAGGAUCCCACCAACUCAAGCUUACUUCUAGAUGUCUAAAGCUCAAUAAAAUUCCAGCAUGAUCCACGGAAUUUGGUAGAAAAUUAUGUUAUGUGAUCAGGGUUCGAGGAAAUUACUAAUAUUGCAAUUCAGUAUCAAAAUCAGAGUUUGGAUUAAAAUUUACUCGGUUUACCUCCGAAAUCAGCUGAGGCUGGAUCAAAUGAGCAAGAAUACUGCUACUUCAGUGAGGACUAACUUCAACGAAUCCUCAAAAUCAGCAGGAAUGCUACAAGUGCAAUACUAGGACCGAAAUUCAACUACAUAUGUAAACCAAGUAAUGAACUUAUGAUUUUGAUAAAAUUAACCCAAAUUACCUUGUCGACCAGCUAGGGGAACACCAUAUCCAUAGGAAAAGGAAGAAGAAAUUGACCAGGAGCCAUUCAAGGCUUAGCUACAAGAAUCGAACAACGAAGAAUAACUAAAAUCCAUAUAAACACUCAACUUCAGCUCAAGGAGUAGAACUACAUCAAUUUUGAGUCAACUAACUUGAAAUUCGGUGGAAAGGAUUAGUCCACAAGUUCAUCUCCUCCACAAGAGAACCCUCAGGAACUCAUAACAGUAACUUGAAGGUUAGUUGGGAGAAAUGGGUGCAGAAAUUAACGAUGAACCAAUGAAAUCCGAAUUUCAGUUCAUAAGCACCAAUCACUCCAAUUCUCACUAUUUCACCUCUACUUACCUACAAUUCCAGCUAGAAAAACCUGUAGACUGAACUUCACUAGUCCCUCCCUCAUUCUAAACAACUUUCAUUUCGGAAUUGGAGCCUCCAAUUGGCUGCUGCCCUGCUGCCAUUGCUGCUGGCAGCAUGCGGCUGCUACUAGCAGCUUGAUGGUGUUGUCGCACCGCUUGCAUAAGAACUAGCCUGCAAAGAGAGAAAUAAAGAGAGCAAAGGGAGAGUUACUUAAUCAGGUUGAUACUUAGCUCCUAAACACUGAAAAUAACCAAUAAACACCAACUAUGCUCAACCAAAGAGUCGGGAUUAGAUUAAGAACAUGAAAAAUCAGCAUAAAAGCUAAAUAGGUUGUGGGGGGGGGGGGGNGGGGAGGAACUCCAUAAAGCAAAAUCCACUUAACUAACCUUUAAUUCAGCUACAACAAGAUCCCAACCAGCAAAUGAGGAAAGUAAGAUCACUUUCAACCCACCAGAAUCUCAGAUAAAUGAAGUAAUCAAGAGAAGUUCCAUCGAAACCAACAACUAAGCUAAAUUUCAGCUCAAUCCCCAAUGUUACCUCAAUUCGCCUCCAACUAACUUUGAAUCCAGCUGAAACCAAAGUCCUACAAGUUCCUCAGCUCCAAAGUAAGUAGUAAGACUCAAGAAAUCACUAAUCCAAAUACAAAUGAUGCUGGAAUAGAAAUUAGAAUCAAAAUUCUAACGAAACAAACCAAAAAUCCAAUUUCCCCACAAAUCCUCUAAAUCACAUCAACCUACCUCUAAUCCAGCAGCAAGAAACCUAUCCCCAAGCUCUUCUCCAUCAUCUACAGCUCGAGCAAGCUCCAAUUGAGCAAUGCAAAGGUACAAUUAGGCCAAUUUGGCCUCCGAUUGCAGCAGCUGCUGCUGAUUUGCUGCUAUCACUCUUGCUGGCUUGUUAUUGCUUAUAGGCUGCGUAGUGAGGGAAACAGCAGGGUGCGCAAAGGGGAAAAAAAUGCAAGGAGGGAGAGAGGAGGAGGAGAAGAAGA